rnacentral:lncRNA from 1 species
UUUGAAAAAGUUUGAUAGAUUCUCAAAAAAGUUCAGAAAUACGAAAAAACGUCAUUUAUUUUGAAAAGAGUUCAUUUACUUUGAAAUAACGUUCUCAAAUUCAGAAAAAAAUUCAUCAACUUUUUAAAAUGUUCAUUGAUUCUGAAAAAAGUUCAAAAUUUUGUAAAAAAAAUCACUAAAUUGGAAAGUAAUAUCAACGACUUGAAAAAAGUUCACGGAUUUAAGAGAAAAAAAAAGGAAAUCGAAAAAAGAAAAAAAAAAGAACAAAACAUGAGGGAUGAAAGGAAGAGAAAGAAAAAGUUAUCACAGGAGGCGUUGUGGGCAUCUUUAUCUGGGAGCUCCUAUGUGGCGCGUUAUGCAGCAUGCAGCAUACUAUCUGAAAUGGGCCGGCCCAGAGUGCACUGUAUCGCAGAAUCGAAAAUACCAUAAGCAAAAAUGCGAGCGCAUGGAAUCAAACUCGGGACGUCCAGUUGAAGCAUGCGCGACAUUAACUAACAGACCAGGAAAACUUUGUUGAGAUAUACGCAGCGCGGUUCUUUAAAAACUACCAAUACUUCAAAUUUCGAGUUGUUUUUGCAAGCACGAACACUUCGAAAUAAUAUAUAUGAAACGUUUCAAAACUGAAUGUUUUUCUGAAGACACAAACAUUUUUGAAAAAAAAUGGAUAUUUUUUGUAUUGUGCGAGCAUUUUGGAAAAUAGCAAACAUUGUUUUGAUUGCACGAAUAUUUUGCAGAAAAGACGAACAUUAUUUAGAAAGUGUGAACAUUUUUCACAAAGACGAAAAUUGUUUUGAACGUGCAAUUUUUUUUCAGAAAGACGAACAUUUUCCAAAUUGCAAACAUUAUAUUGAAAAACGUAAAUUUGUUUUGAAAUUUACGAACAUUUUUUGAAAAUGUGACAUUUUUCAACUUUACGAACGUUUUGAAUACGCAAACAUUUUUAAUAAUUUGGGAACAGUUUUUUAAAACACAAACAUUUUUCUAAAUUUUGUGAACAUUUUUUGGAAACACGAUAAUUUUUUUGAAAACCCUGAAAAUAUUUCAAAUUUGGGAACAAUUUUGCAUUCUGGACAUUUGAUAAAUUUGUGAAUUUUUCAAAAAAGAAACAGAAAAAGGAAAAUAAAAGAAGAAAGAAACAGAAAAGAUAAAAACGAAAAAAAGAAACAGAAAGGGAAAACCGAAACAGCAAAAACCUGAAAGAAAACCAGCCUAAAAAAGUAAUAGAUAGAAGGAAACCCGUUCGAGGAACAUUCUAGAAGGUUCCCAUAACCAGGAGAAAACUACCAGCGCUAAACGCUAAAUGGGCCCCGGCCCACCGAGCUCUUCGCGUUACUCUCCUCUGCGAACCUCUGCCAAUUUGACGCAGAAUGCGUCAAAUAGGUAAUACCCCUUUAUCUAGUACAGGGAGAUCGCAGGUUCGAAUCCCCGCGAACCCACCCUUCGCACUUGUUUUAGCAGAAAAAAAGAGAAACGGGCCGACCCAGCUCUUAGGAAAAGUGUGUGCCGCUCUGCCUUUAACAGAUUAAGGCUGCGUUCGGACUGCAGGAGAGCAAAGCAAUGGAAUGAAUAAAAGUAUAGGAAGUGAAAGUGGGUGAACAGUGCAAAUCAUAGGUUUCCAACCGGGCGUUUCGUUUGGUUUGAGUAGAUGUUAUCUUUCCCGUGGAAAGUACAGACCGAGGGCACUUUCCUAUGGAACAAACAAUGCUGAUUCCUGUGGAGCGAACGGGCUUACAGGAAAAUAUUCCCGUGGAAAUCAAACCUGCAUAAUUCCUGUGUACCGAACGCAGCCUAAGGGGUGCCAAAUAGGAAAUGUCGGAAUUUCCUAACGGCGACUGAGAUGGGCCAGCCUAAUUUCCCUGCUUCUCACAAAUUAUCCCUGCUUCUCACAAACGCGAGCGACCUGGCGACUGAGAUGGGCCAGCCUAAUUUCCUAACAUAGGCACGCGAUACAUUAGCUGGUUUUGGGAAUGUUCUAGAAGCUUCCUGACCGGUUUUGGGAACCUACUAGAAAGUUCCUGAACAGGAUUUCACUUUUUUUUAUUAAAAAAUUCGUUUUUUCCUUUUUUUGUUUCUUUUUAUUUAAUUUUUGUUUACUUAUUGUAUUUCUGUUCUAAUUCGAUUUUCUUCUGCAUUUUUUGUUUCUAUUUUUCUUUUCGAUUUCAAAUUUGUUUGAAAAAAAAAUCCAUGUUAUUUUUUUCACAAAUUCAAAAUAAAAUUGAUUUUAAAGAAAUGUUCGCAUAGUUCAAAAUUUGUUCUCCUUCCAAAAAACUUUCUUCUUUUAAAAUUUUGUUCACAAAUUCAAAAGUGCUCACAAAUUUCAAAUAAUACUAUUUCCUUUUUUGUUCAUUGUUUCAAAAUUUGUUCACAUAUGGAAAAGAAUGUCCCCUGUUCAUAAAAUGUCCAUGUUUUCAAAAAUUGAUCUGCUUUUUCAAAAUUUGUUCACCAAUUCAAAAAAGUUACCAUUUUCUAAACUUUGUUCACAGAUUGAAAAAUUGUUCACAUCUUUAAAAGUUGUUCAUGAUUCUAAAAAUAUGUUCCCUUUUUUAAAAAAGUCAACAAAACCAAAAUGUACCUGUUCUCAAAAUUUGUUCACAAAUUAAAAAAAAUAAUUUUUAUUAAAAUGAUUGAAAUAUUGAAAAAAUGUUCACAUUUUGUGAAAACAUUUCGUUAUUGUAAAAAAAAUUCGGAUUAAAAAAUAUUCUUUUUUUUCCAAUAUUUGUUCAGAAAUUGAAAAAUGUUCAUGUUUUUGAAAAAAUAAAUAAUCAGAAACUUGUUCACAUUUUCGAAAAACUUUUUUGUUUGAAUAAAAAAUUGAUCAUAAUUAAAAAAAGGUGUUCCUAUUUUUUGAAUAUUCGUCCACAACUUCAAAAUUGUUCAUGUUUUUCAAAUUUGGUUGCAAAUUCGAAAAAUUGCUUUAUUUUUUUUAAAACUCGUUUGUGUUCUGUCAUAAUCGUUCGUACUUGUCAAAAAUAGAAUCAGAACUUACAAGAAAAGAUCAGUAAAAAGGAAAAUAAUCCGAUCUGCCGGUGUGACUAGGUCUAAAGUGUUCGCAUUGCCUUUUCACCAACAAUGUGAAUCAGGUGCAGUGGUUAGCAACGCCUGUCUACAGGAUCACGGUCGCGUUGCUUAUUCAUUCCUUUUUUACACCGCUCGCUGCCUUCGUUGGCUGGCUCAGUUGAGGGACUAACCUAUGCGAUAGCUCGACAUUCACUUUGGUGCCCGCUCGCUGCCGCAGAUAGGAAGUCCCGAAAAUGCCCGCGCGCACCCCUCCCUCACUCGCAUCUAUCCUAACAGUCCGACCCAUAUUAGCCCCUCCUUUGGUCUUCAUUUUUUCGUUUCCUUUGCCAAUUUUCUUUUCGUUUUUCAUUUUUUGCAUUUUCGUUUUUAGAUGUUAGAAAUUCAUAUUUUCAAGUUGGUGAACUUUUUUUCAAUUCGGGAUUUUUUUUUCAAAUUUGUGAACUUUUUUAUUAAAUGUGUGAAUAAAUAUAACUUCAUGAACUUUUUUUAAUUUCAUUAACUUUUUUUAAACUAAUGAACAUUUUUCAAAUUUGUGAUUUUGUUUUUCAAAUUUGUUAUUUUUAAAACUCACGAUCCUUUUGGAAUGUGUGAAAAUUUUAAAUUCAUGAACUUUUUCACAUUUUAGAAUGUUUUUCUUAUUCUCAAUCUUUUUUUCAAAACAAUGAACUUUUUUUUAUCAUGAACUUUUGAAUCUUUGUACUGUUUUUGAAGUGCAUGUAUAUAUUUCAGUCUGUGGAAUUUGUUUUUAAAAUCCACAAAAAAAAUUCAAAUUCAUAAUUUUUUUAAUAAUGAUAACCAUGAAACUUGUCAUUAUGGUCUUAAUUUUCAAUCCUAUGAUAGUUAUUUUGUUGAGUUUGCUCCCACUACUAUUGAUGAGAAGAAAUUUGAUUAUGUGGAGAGUAAUACAUUUUCUAUGCUUUUGUGUCAUGAAAAGAAUGCUUUAUGUGAUGGUUAUAUUGUUAUAUUUCUUCAUGAUGCUACUGGAAAUUAUUAUGAGGGAGGAACUUAUGCUUGUAAGAAUUGCAAUAAUAUCAAGUUUCCUCUCUAUGUGUUGAAAAUCUUGAAGUUAUGCUUGUUUUGCCUUCCUAUGCAAGUUGAUUCUUGUUCCCAUGAGGUGUUUGCUCACAAAAUCCCUAUGCAUAGGAAGUGGGUUAGACUUAAAUGUGCUAGUCAUAUGCUUCAAAAUGCUCUUUUUAUGUUUCAAUUCUUAUCUUUUAUGCGAGCAUCAUUGAAAUCACAUGCCUGGCUAAAAGACAUUAACGAAAAACGCUUGUUGGGAGACAACCCAACAUUUACGCCUACUGUUUUUAUGUGUUCACAUGAUUAGGCUACUGUAGUAAUCAUGUUUUAUAGCUUUCGUUUCAAUAAAGUGCCAAGUAAGACCUUUGGGAUGGUCUAUAGAGAUAGUUGAUUUGAUCUUGCUGAAAAACAGAAAGUUUUGCGCCCAGUAAAAUAAUUUUUGUUUUUUACAGAAGCGUGAUAAAAUCCUGAUUAUUUUAAAAAAAGAUUGAUAUACAAAUUUCCCAGGUUGUUCUAAAUUUUCAGAGUUUUUGGAGUAGCAGAAGUAUGGUUGUUGUUCAAAUCAUUACAGACUAUUCUGUUUUUGACAGAUUCUGUUUUCAAUGGAUAGUUUGCUUACUUUCUAGUUUUUGUGGCUUAUAUUGCUCAAUAUAAAUUAUAGAAAUGAUAGGGUAUAGUUGGCAUUGUGUGAGAACAAUUAUGAAUCUUGUCUUUGGCAGUACCAAAAGUGAGUGGUUUGCUCUUUAUCAUACUAACCUAUCUCACGAAAUUCCGUUAAGUUUUGUGUGAUUGAAGUUUUCAAGUUUUGGGUGAGAUAUCGAUAUGAGGAGAAUAAGGAGUGACAAGAUCCUAAGCUUGGGGAUGCCCAAGGCACCCCAAGGUAAUAUUCAAGGAAGAUCCAAGCAACUAAGCUUGGGGAUGCCUCACUUGGAGCUAUGUUUUCAUUCGUCACAUGAUAUGAGUUUUACUUGGAGCGUCAUUUUCUUUUGUUAGGAUUUGCUUGCUUUUAUUUAGAAUAAUGUUUUGCAUCUUUCUUUUCAAUAAAAAUGUCAAGGAUAACCUUCACCAUGCUUAUUUUGCAAGUAUACAUGUUGCUGUUUCAAAACAGAAAGUUUAUCGCUGUUGCAAAAAUUCCCUAGAAAAGUCAAAAUGUGAUAAAAUGCUGAUUUUUUUGCAAAAUAAGCUCUGAUAAAUGUUCUACAGUGAGGUAAAUUUUCAUAAUUUUUGGAUUUAAAGAAGUAUUGAUACUCUUGCAUUCUUUACAGACUAUACAGUUUUGGCAGAUUGCUGUUAUGUUUUCAUUGUUUGCAUAUGUUUGCUUGUUUAAUGAUUCUAUUUGAGGAUAGGAGUAUUAAAUAUGCGGAGGAAUUUAGUAUGCAAUGUUGAAUAAUAAUUUUAGUGAUUUUCUACAGUAGAGAAUGAUGAGGUUUUUGCAUUGGUUUAUACUAACUUAUCUCAUGAGUUCUUGUUGAGUUUUAUGUGGAUGAAGUUUUUAAAAUUUAGGGAAACCGUGAUAGAAAAGGAAUUAAGGAGACACAAAAGCUCAAGCUGGGGAUGCCCAAGGCAUCCCAAGAUAAUAUUUCAAGAAGUCUCAAGCAUCUAAGCUUGGGGAUGCCCCGGUAGGCAUCCCACCUUUCUUCAUCAACAAUUAUCGAUUAGUAUCGGUUGAUCCUAAGUUUUUGCUUCUUCACAUGAUGUGUGCUAUUCUUGGAAUGUCAUUUUGUCUUGUUUUGCUUGCUGUUUUAAUAAAAUACUUAGAUAUGAAAGUUUUUAAAUAAGAGAGUCCUCAAAUAGCUACCUAUUUACUUAACUACUCGUUUGAUCUUCACUUAUAUCUUUUUGGAGUAGCUUGUCAUUUACUCUUGUGCUUCACUUAUAUCCUAUGAGUAAAUUGUUGAAUAAAUUGAAUAUAAUGAAGCUGAAAUUAUAUGUUCAUAUCAUGCCUAGUGGUAGCUUCACAUUGGGUUUAGAAAGUGAAAUCUUUUGAAGCUUGACAAUCACAAUAUUGGUCAUACAAUCAAUUCAUGAAUGAUUAGUAGAAGGAAGCGAACUUUCACAUGCAAAUACACUAUCUUGGAAAUUGAUUGUGAGCCCCCAUCAAAAUAUUAUAUGCCAAAAUUGUUGAUGUUGGACAAGGAAGACAACGUAAUGAUUUAUGUUUGUUCAUAUUCACAUAGAAGUUACAUUGUCAUAGAUCCUUCAACAUGUGGUGCUUGCCCCCCAUCUUUGCUAGCCAAAAAUUCCGCACCAAGUAGAAAUACUACUUGUGCAUCCAAAAACCCUUAAACCCAAAUCUUAUUUUCAAGAGUCCACCAUACCUACCUAAGGAUUGAGUAAGAUCCUUCAAGUAAGUUGUCAUCGGUGCAAUAUGGCAAAAUUGCUUCUAAAAGUGUUAGAUCAUUUAGUGUAAGAGAAAAUUGAGCGUUGUACGAACUUGUGAUGGCAAAGAAUAAAAGAGACAAGCUGUAUAAUAAAGCUUGCUAUCAUAAGGGGCAAUAUAACGUGAUGUUAUUUUGCACUAAGGGAUUGAGCAUACAAACAAAAAGCGCAUGAAAACCUCUGCUUCCCUCUGCGAAGGGCCUACUUUUUACUUUUAUGUAUUUACUUUCAUGCAAGGGUCAAGGUUUUUCUCUCUAUUCCUUUUUAUUUUUCUAUUUUGGCAAGCAUCAUGUGGUGAGGAAAGAUCUAGGCACAUAUAUCCAGUUGGAUAUGGGUAGCAUGAGUUAUUAUUGUUGACAUCACCCUUGAGGUGAAUACAUUGUGAGGCAAAAUUAUAAGCCUCUAUCUUUCUGUGUGUCCGAUUGAAACAUUUUGCUCAUCUGUAUGCGGUGAAUGUUAGCAAUCAUAGAAGACUAUAUGAUGGUUGAGUAUGUGGAGCUCUUACUUAGACUCUGUUGAAUAAGUUGAAUUGCAAUUAUUUGGUGACUAAGAAUAUAGGUUGUUGAGUUUCAAGAUAAUUCAUUUUUUGAACCUUAAAAUGUGAUUGAUUGCUACUUUGUCAUGAUGAGUUUUAUGGGAAAGAGUUGCUGUUAUGAUGCUAGGGAAAGUGAUUGAAUUAUCAUUGAUUAAACUUGUGCACUUUGCUAGCAUUCACACUUCAUAAAUUAUUUCUUUUAUCAUUUACCUACUCGAGGACGAGUAGGAAUUAAGCUUGGGGAUGCUGAUACGUCUCCAACGUAUCUAUAAUUUAUGAAGUAUUCAUGUUGUUAUAUUAUCAUUCUUGGAUGUUUUACAAUCAUUUUAUAGCAAAUUUAUAUCUUUUUUGGGACUAACCUAUUGACCCAGUGCCCAGUGCCAUUUGCUGUUUUUUGCUUGUUUUUUACAUCGCAAGAAAUCAAUAUCAAACGGAGUCCAAACACCGCGAAACUUUUUGUGGAUUUUUUAUGGACCAGAAGACAUCCAAUGGGCUAGAGCAGCACCUGGGGGUGCCCCGAGGGAGGAACAACCCACCAGGGCGCGCCUGGGCCCCAGACGCGCCCCGGUGGGUUGUGCCCACCUCGGUGGCCUCCCGCACCGCCUCUUCGCCCUAUAAAUUGCCAAAUGUUCCAAAAAACCUCGCGGGUAACCCAAGAUGAGAAGUUCCGCCGCCGCAAGCCUCUGUAGCCACCGAAAACCAAUCUAGACCCCAUUACGGCACUCUGCCAGAGGGGGAAAUCAUCACCGGUGGCCAUCUUCAUCAUCCCGGCGGCCACCACGAUGAGGAGGGAGUAGUCCACCCUCGGGGCUGAGGGUUUGUACCGGUAGCUAUGUGUUUAAUCUCUCUCUCUCUCUCUCUCUCUCUCUCUCUCUCUCUCGUGUUCUUGGGAUGUCACGAUCUUGAUGUAUCUUUGUUAAUAUAGUCGGAUCAUAUGGUGUUUCCCCCUCUCUAUCUUGUGAUGAAUUGAGUUUUCCUUUUGAGAUUUCGUUUUAUCGAAUUGAAUACUUUUAUGGAUUUGAGAACAAUUGAUGUAUGCCUUGUUAUGAAUACCCAUGGUGACAAUGGGGCAUCGUAUUGAUCCACUUGAUAUGUGUUUUGGCACUCAACUUGCGGAUUCCCGAGGUGACAUUGGGGUAAUGUAUGCAUAGGGGUUGAUGCACGUUCUCAUCUUUUGUUUCUCCGGUAGAAAUCUUGGGGCACUCUUUGAGGUUCUUUGUGUUGGAUUGAGUAUUAUGAAUUUGAAUUUGAUUUGGUGUUAUUUUAGUACGAACUCUUGAUAGAUCGAUCGGAAAAAAUAACUUAGUGUUAUUUUAGUACGAACUCUUGAUAGAUCGAUCGGAAAGCAUAAUUUGGUGUUAUUUUAGUACGAACUCUUGGAUAGAUCGAUCAGAAAGAAUAGCUACAAACAAUUUCUUCUUAUGUUCUCCGCUAGAUAAGAACUUUGGAGUGAUUCUUUAUCGCACGUUGAGGGAUGGUUAUAUGAUUCAAUUAUAUUAGCAUUGUUGAGAAAUUGCACUAGUGAAAGUACGGACCCUAGGCCUCAUUUUCAAGCAUUACAAUACCGUUUGUGCUCACUUUUGUUACUUGCUACCUUGCUGUCUUUUUAUUGUUACUAUUACAAAAAUCACUAUCUACUAUCAUUACUACACUUUUAUUACCAUCUCUUCGCCGAACUAGUGCAUCUAUACAAAUUACCAUUGUAUUUGGUGUGUUGUGGACACAAGAGACUCUUUUUUAUUUGGUUGCAGGGUUGUUUGAGAGAGACUAUAUUCAUCCUACGCCUCCCAUGGAUUGAUAAACCUUAGGUCAUCCACUUGAGGGAAAAUUGCUACUGUCCUACAAAACUCUGCGCUUGGAGGCCCAACACGUAUCUACAAGAAUAAAGUUGCGUAGUAAACAUCAGUGUGUGGUAUGAAGGCUGAACCCUUUGCAUGGGUGAGCCCUGGGGGUUUUAUAGGCUAGCCCCCAGGGGUACAAUGGUAAUACGACUGGGUGUAGGACCCGGACUUUAGUGUCUAAGGUCGCCGGGUUCUCCGCCGGCUGCUGGGGCCCGCCGUUGGAGGGCCCCGCCGGCCGCCGAGAAUCCGGCCGACAGGUAGGGCCCGCCGCCUGCGGGCCAUGUUGAUUGCCUUUCACUAUAUCUCUGUCCUUGCUGAUGAGGGCCACGUCAUGGACCGUGUGGCUACAGUCAUGCGCCGUGCGGGUUGGUGGCCGCCUGGUCAACGCACACUGUAGCCACGACUCUCCGGGAUUCGAGGGGAGCAGGUGGCGCAGUAGCUAUGCUCCGUCUUGUCGUAGUAGGUGAGUGCAAACUCCGAGGGGAAGGACGGGCCGGCUGCUGGGAGCCGGCCCGCUCCACAAGCUGCCUUCUGGAAGGGCGCCGUCUUCUGGGAGGCGGCCGCGUGGUCCGGUCCGCCUUUUAAGGGCACGCCGUCUUCUGGAAGCCGGCCGCAUGGUCUGUUGGCUUUGAGGGGCUGCACUAGGCCCAAUUUCUUGAAAUGUUAUAGGGUGCGGAUGAGGCUACCCGGGGUCCGUCCCCCCGACAAGUACCCUGUUUUCUACUAGUGCUAUCUAUCUAUCUAUCUAUCUAUCUAUCUAUCUAUACUAUCUCUAUCUAUCUAAAGGUUCCAUGUUUCACUUAUCUUUUCCUCUUGUUUUGGUCUAACCUUCCCAUAUGAUAAUUAAUCACCUUAAUUUACUUAUCUAAUAAAUUAAAUUUAGUUUACUUACCAAACUUCUCAUCAAAUAUAAGGUAAAUCAUGGGCAUAAUUGUCUUAAUAUGGGCAGGUAAAUCAUGAUCUAACGUAAUAGAUUACUUAUAUAUCAUGAUUUUAUUAAACAAUUGUAUUAACAUAGGUAGGUAAAUCACGAUCUAUUAACAGAUUAUUUAUAUCACGGGCAUUGCAAUAGUAAAUAACAAAAGGAGAAUAGCCGUCCCGAAUAAAUUGCAUUCUCUAGCCCCCGUCACCAGCAUUUAUUUCCCUUUCCAUUCUCAAAACUAAGAACGUGAAGAUGAAACAAAUACUACAAUUAGAUCAGGUUUAGUCCUAAACUUUGAACUUAUAAUAUAAAAUAAAAAGAAUUCUUAUAAAAGUAAAUAAGAAGAAUAUUUUUGCUCCGCUUAAUAGACAAGCUAAGUAGAUUUGUCACUGAAGACUUCCCGACAAGGUCAGGUCGGUUAGCGUCGGUGUCUCAUGCAUUCUAGCGGCAGCAACGAUCGUUCGAUUUGAUGGUCCAUGGACUUUGAUGUAAUUUUUAUUAUUUUAGAGGUGCUUUGUACAGAAUCCGGUGAAUCUAUAUCGUAAUAGAACUAAUCUUUUUGAAGAAAAAGACAAGCCAACUAACUGCAAACUGACUGAAUCCAACACAACGCAUCACAACACAGAGAAGCCACAUGCAUCAGUGGCAUGCAUCGUUAUUAGUAUACAUUAACCUCACAGACUAAUUGAAGCCGCAAACACGCCGGAGCCAGGACCAAUCUUCACCUAAACAACAUGCAUGGAUGCAUGCAUGAAGAUGAAGAGGCAAAACCGAUGGAGCUACUUUAUUUCUGGUCAUCCUAAGCUCAGCAGUCCCGCUCGCAGUAGCACUUGCGCUCGAGGUGGUGCUGGUGGCACUGCCCGCGGGGGAAGUUCUCGGUGCGGCACACGCUGGCGCAGUUGGUGUCGCUGAAGCAAGCGCCCUUGAAAUUGUGGCUCUGCGACUCGCACGUCCGGGCCUCCGCCACCUUCGUCGUCCCCAUCUCUGCAAUGCAACCACCACAAAAGUAAUCAAGCGCCGGUGAUUAAUUACAAUUUACAACUGCUCGAUCGCUGGGAGGGAGGAAGCUCGCCGGACAUACCCGUGGCGACGAGGAGGAGCAGGAUGAGGAGGGUGGCGGGCGCGGCGGCGGGCGCGGCGGCGAUGCGGCGAGGGGAUGCCAUCUCUCUUCUGUACUUGCUCUCUUGCUUCACCCGAGUCCCAAAUCAGAGCUCUCUGCUGCUGAUGAUGAGGGGAGCUACCAUCUCGUUAUAUAUAAGCGAGAUAUAGAUAUAGCUCCCGCGUCCCUUCGUAGCUUUUCAAGCCCUAGCAAGAAAGCCCUAAAAAAUUCCUUGACUAGAAGGGAAAACGUCCAUAGUCCAUAGUCUCUAUCUCUAUCUUUAUGUCUUUAUAUCUAUCUAUCUAUCUAUCUAUCUAUACUAUAUUUAUAUCUAUCUAUCUAUAUUAUAUUUAUAUCUAUAUCUAUCUAUCUAAAGUUUUCAUGUUUCACUUUUCCCCUUCGUCUAACCUUCCCCUAUGAUAAUCACUUUAAUUUGCCUAUCUUAAUUUAACUUUAGUUUACUUACAAAGCUUCUUAUCAAAAUAAGGUAAAUUAUGAAAAGGAUUUGAUAAACAUUUAUUACAUAAUUGUAUUAAUAUAUGUAGGUCAAUCACAAUUUAAUGUAAUAGAUUAUUUAUACUGCAAAAAUUUAUUUACACAAUUAUAUUAAUAGCCCCCUAAGGAAACAAUUGUAUUAUAGACAGAUAAAUCACGAUCUGACAUAAUAGAUUAUUUAUAUCCGUUGUAACCUACUGGCAUUAUUUAUACUUCCGGUUAUCGUUUAAUCGGACUUGUUGGAAGCACUAUGUUGUUUGUCGAACAGUGGACUGGAGUGUUCUGGGUAUGGUCCUUUGGUUCGGGAGAUCAAAGAGUUAAUGUGCAUUAGAGAGUUUUAUCCUCCGAAAAUUCUUCGUUGAUCAAAGAGUUAAUGUGCAUUAGAGUCUUAUCCUCAGAAAAUUCUUCGAGUUGCAGAUCGCCUAGCCAAUUAUAGCCGUACCGAGAGUACAACUGUUGUGUGGUUGGUCUUGGCUCCACCUUGUAUUGAGAAUUAGUGGCCUCUUGACUAUAAGACUAUUACAUACAAAUAAAAUUCCUGAAUUCUCCUAGUAAAUAACAAAAGGAGAAUAGACGGCCUGAAUAAAUUGCAUUCUCUAGCCCCUGACACUGGCAUUUCUCAAGAAACAUCUCGUUUUAUUUCCCUUUCCAUUUUCAAUACUAAGAACACGUGAAGACGAAACAAAUACUACAAUUAGAUAGGUUUAGUCCUAAACUUCCACCUUAUAAAAGAAAAUAAAAAAGAAUUUUGUUUGCUCCGCUUAAUAGACAAGCGAAGUAGAUUUGUCUAGGCAAUCAACGACGGCAACAUGGCGAUGAUAAUUAGGAACACUUGUAUGAAGACCUCCCAUUGACAAGGUCAGGCCGGCUAUGAAUAACUACAACUUCAUGAACUUUUUAAAAAUUUCAGUAACUUUGUUAAAACUCAUGAAUGUUUUUCAAAUUUGUGAUUUUGUUUUUAAAAUUCAUUAUUUUUAAAACUCAUGAACCUUUUUGAAUGCACAAUUUUUUUAAAUUCAUGAACUUUUUUCACAUUUUUGAAUGUUUUUCUUAUUCAUCAAUCUUUUUUUUCAAAACCCUUGAACUUCUUUUUAAAUCACGAACUUUCGAAUCUUUGCACAAUUUUUGAAAUGCAUUAUAUAUUUAAAUCCAUAAACAUUUUUCAAAAUCCAUAGAAUUUUUUUCAAAAUCCACAAAACAAUCCAAAUUCAUAACCUUUUUUAAAAUUCUGAACUUUUUCAUAUUCAUGAAUCGUUGGCAAAUCUACAAACUCUUUGCAAAUUUACAAUGUUUUUCAAAUUUGUGUGUUUAUACGGAUUCGAAGGAAUUGUUUUUACAAAAGUCAAAUGGUUGCCCGAUCAACCAUUCGCCAAAGGGACCUGCAUGGUUACGACCCGAACAAUUUGGUCAGGCCCAGCUUAGCAAGGCGUGAGCACCAUUAUCGCUUACCAACACUAAGGGCGCAAACGAGGAGGACUCGCGAUUCAUCGAGUAACACGCUACUGGGCUAGCCAUGCGUGUGGGUGAUGAGGGGCGCUACCAUCUCGCUAUAAGCGAGACAUAGAUAUAUCUCCCGUGUCCCUGGGAGGCUUCUCAAGCCCUAACUAGAAAGCCCAAAAGAAGGAAAAAAAGGCCCAGUCUCUAUCUCUAUCUCUAUGUACUUAUCUAUCUAUAUCCAUAUCCAUAUCUGUAUCUCUAUCUCUAUCUCUAUGAGUGCAGCAUUUCGAUGCCCAGACUCAUCUACAUCCGGUCAGAAAAAAUCACAAAAAAUUCAAACACUUCCAAUUUUUUUGCAUGGUAGAAAAUUUAGCGCGUGAGGUCCGCUCCAAUUUUCAAAUCAUUUAGACACCUGAACAACUCUUGGCAAAAAAGACAAAUUGGGUCAGAACAGUGCAUGAGCAGUAACUUUUUUACAAAUCCCGAAUUUAUCUUUUUUGCCGAGAGCUGCUCAGAUAUCCAAAUGAUUUAAAAAUUGGAGCGGACCUCACACAUCAAAUUAUCUAUCAUGUAAAUGUUUGGAAUUUUUUGAAUUUGUUUAGUAUUUGUUUCGUCAGCGCGAGUGCAGAUGAGCCUGGGCUUAGAAGCUGAUUUUCAUAUCUCUAUCUCUAUAUCUACUAGUAAGCGUGCACGUGCAACGCACGUCUAAAACUUAGUUCACAUAUUCUAAAUUUUAAAUAAUUCUUGCAAAAGAAUAUAAAUGAAAUGGAUACAAAAUAGAUGUCCUCUAAAUGUAUUUUUUUUAAGUGAAACACCGUUGUGAUCCAGCAACCUAGUGAAGAAUCAAGCGUCUGGCCAUGGUCACUAAACUUUUUGAACAAACUGAUUUUCGAGAUGAAUUUACACAUGAUUAACAUGCAAGGAAAAAAGUUAAAGUUAUGCAACACUUGCUCAAUUCUACCAAUGACUAUUCAAUACUUCCAUCAAUUUCUCCUCUGUACAAGUAUGGUAUUUUCUAAAGUGGACAUGGUAUUUUGAUUGGGAAGUAUAGAUUUUGCAAUAGAAAAUAAAAUUGACUGAUACGCAUGUAGUCUUCACUUCUAGUGUAGCCACCGAAAACAAAAUGCAAACUAGUACUUUACAAUGCAAUUGCUCUGAUAAGGAUGCCUACUUCUUGAAUCUUAUUUUCUUGUACAAAAGCCAAUUUUACACCUGCACAACAAUAUAUAAAAUUUGUCAGCACGUGCAAAAGAGAGGCUAAACGGAUUUUUAUGCCAUGAACUAACAUUUUGUACUAACUGGGAUCAACAUAGGAAAACCUGUUGACACCUAUACAUUGGUACUAUAGCAAAAAUUAAUAAAAAAAACUUGGCGCUAGGAAAAUAAAAAAAAUAAUACAAUGGAGAGCAAUGGCACCAUAGUGAGAGCGGGACAGACACCGCACACGAGGGCGGCCUCAUGGGAGUACGGCUGGGUGGCCGAAACAGACGGGCGGCCAAGAGGGAGACAUCGUGCCACCAGGCGCGGGGCAGCGGGGACUCUGCGUCGAGGCCGGUGGCAGAGGCACCAUGUCCUGCAUAUACGAUAUCGUGCAUUACAAAUAGCUAAAAAAGGGUUUAUCAUGGUAAACAUAUACGAUCUGAAAACUUGGUUGUCUUCUUUUGAUCCUUUUAGUAAGUCAUAGUCCUCAAAGAGGUCAUGAAAGAGAAUGACAUUACCUAAAGAUUUACAUUACAAAGGAAAAAUGUUAUCAGCCCACACUUUUUUAACGAAGGUAACAUGAACAUACAUGGGGCUAUAUGAUUAUCUUCAAUACUGAGUUGCCUUCAUAUUCCCGCAAAAAAAAAGAGUUGCCUCCAUAUUUCCAUGUCCAGUCUCCCUCCCUCCCUCUGUCUCGCUCUAACCUGAAAAUGCAUCAAGUGUAGGUAUAAAUAUGGAGUUUAGAGCAACUCUAGCAGACCCCGCAUCCCGCCCCGACCCGUAAAAUAACCGCCAAAAUGCGGGUCGGGGCGGAAAAACCAGCCCGAUCAGACCCCGCAUCCCGCCCCGGCCCGCAAAUUUUUUUAGGGGGGGUGGCAAAAUCCCGAGCCCAACCCGGGAAAACGCGGGUUUCCCCCUCGCGGCCGCGAUGCCCUGCAUAUAAGCGGAAGCGGUUGGUGGAGGGUCAUUUCAUCCCGCGCUUUCUCCCACCAACCACCUCUCCUCUCCCCCUCGCGCCGUCGCCGGCCGCCGCCCAAGAUUCCGGCGACCGCAGCCGGCAGGAGCACGCCGGAAGGCCGCCACGCGCACGAGAACUCCCCUCCCCCCCCCGCGUCGGCGGGCCGCCGGAUUUGCAGAUCUGCUACACUUCAUCGCGGGCCGCCGGAUUUGGCUUUUUCCGGCCGCCGGUUGCUGCCUCAAGCGGUGGAGUGGUCGGGGAGCCUCUCCCGCAGCCCAGGCAAGGGUGCAUCACCGCAUGCAGGUACGAGUUCGUCCGCCCGCCGUCGCCGAAGGUUUGCGGGCAUGGACUCGUCCGGUCGUCCACCGGGCUCGGCGCUCGCGCAUUGUCUUUGUGGCUUGCCGAGGCCGCUCAUAGAGUGCGACGACUACACGCGGAAAGUGCCGCGGCUCACUUCGAGCACGCCGAAGCACCCCGGAUGGGUGUUCUUCAAAUGCGAAAACAACGGGGUACGUGCACUUGCGGUAGCUCGUUUCAUAGUUCAUUCUUUAGUUCAAUUGCGGUGGCUCACUUCGAGCUUGCUCAUUCUUUUGUGUAGGACAAUGGAUGCUCAUUUUGGUUUUGGGAAGGGCAAUACAUUGAUUUGUUGAUAGAAAGAAAUUUAAUAGAUGUUAGUGCACUCCUUAGUACAAUCGAAGGCAAUGAUGCGGCUGCAUGUGCAACUAGAGGGGAAGCAACAUCUACUUCUUCCGAACCAAAGAUGAAGAAAGAAGAAUGCAAAAUCAAGAAUCCACAUAUUAACAACGAAUGCAUGGAGAAGAUAUUAGUCCAGCUAGUGGGAGCAGUUAUGGAAGUUGAAAAUCUUCUAAAAUGCAUACUUGUAGUUCUUGUUUUCUUUGGUCUUGCUAUUCUAGCAAAGAUUUGGUGAUGCCUUUUGUAUCCAAUGUUGUUAAUAAAGCAAAGCAAUGCAAUAUGCUAGAUCAAAUUAAGUUGCAAAUUUAAGUUUUGCGGGCCGGGAGGACCUGCGCCAGAUCAGACGCCGCAACCCCAACCCGUAAAAAAGCAUAUUCUGGGAAUAUCCUUUUUUACGGGUCUAUUAUGCGGGGUCUGCAACUGCGGCCACCCGCGCCAGCCCGCAAAGGCGUUUUUUCGCGAACUGCAAAAACGUUUUGCGGGUCGGAAGGAUGCGGGGUCUGCUAGAGUUGCUCUUACAAUAAACAGUGGCCCUCAACACAACAGCUGAUUUUUUUGAAAUGUACUGGAAUACACAAAGACAACGUCUGCCGCUGAUUAACUGAGUUCAACCAAGGAGACCUUCCUCCAUAGGUUCACUAGAUAGGGGGCGCGGCUUGCCGCACGUUGCCCGCCGAACGGCGGGCCAAAGGAUAGGACUUUGAGAUGUUAAUGGAGAUGACUUUAGCAUCAUAACGAUAAUUGUUUAGAGUUAAUAAAAUUUGGAGGUAAAAUGCAUGAGAUGUUAUCGGAAUUACUCUAUUUGGCAUACAUAGAGAGAUGAUACGAGUUUUCUGCUCUAUGAGCUAAAGUUCUGCAGUAGAGACACGAAUCAGAAUGUACCUCAGGAAUUGGGUAAUCAGGGUAUUGCGGAAAAGAAGGCAACAUUGUCAUCUAGAAACAUGUUUAUACCUGAUUAGCAAUGCACUUAACAUGAUUCAUAGGACAAGAUAGUGUUCACAAUCUCCUAAAUAGACAGGUGCACUCGUCAAAGUAAUUUGCUAAUCCCAGCAUAUGGAACACGAAUACAAAAUAAAACGAGCUGAACAACACAGGGGAGCAAAUAGAUGGAACACUUGUAAAUCAGAUUCUGAAGUACAGUCCUGGUACUGAUUAAGUUUAAAGGAGAGUGUAUCAAUCGCCCAUAUAUUUACAAAGGAAAUAACCUUGGCAUGAAGUACUUGCUAGCCUCUAAAUACGGAUAUCGCCAUGACUGAAACUGAAAUAAAAGGGCUAAAAGCGCUUCGCAGGGUAUGGCAUGUCUAGCCGUUCGACUCCCAUUUCACUCCGGGGCACCGAGUCUAGGGCAUGCAUGUAUACAUCGAUCUCAUACCCUGCAGUCCUGCACACAUGCAACAGACAAGGACUCAGCACAGAAUAUUAUACAGACUUAAACCAAGAAAUGAGACUGCAAUAAGCGAAUCUGAAUCAUUCAAACUUGACAAAAAUACAGCUUCUAGCCAAGUAGCCUGAUAGUCCGGAUGGACAGAAACAUGAUUGUGAUAGCUGCCAUUGUUGCCCAUAAGCAACCAAGUGAUGUGGCGGUAAGUGCCUACGAGCCGAAGCUCAAGCACGGGAAUCGCUCGUACAGGCAUACUAAUAAGAAACCGUCCAUUUACAGCAACGUUAACAAAAAGUCUUGGGUCUCAAAAAGAUGCCUCGCCUACUGAAAGAGCACGAAGACCAACAGGGAACCACUCAUGAGAAUGUGUGGUGGUAACAAAGACCACAAGAAGGUCCAGAAGAAUUUGGAAAAAAGAAAGCCCUAUGAUUACCCAGGCGAUGUUUCUACUUCUAUCUGCCCCGCUUGCUCGGAUUGCUUCGAGCAUCGACAGGGACAGAUGGUUGGGGCCUGAAAAUGGCACACUGGAUUGAGUAUCUUGCAAUGCGAGCAAAAUACUUGGGUAUAAUUAAAGAAAUGGCGAGCACCUUUUUGCAUCGGAGGUCUGAUCAGGCAACGGCAAGUUAUCUUUCUCCAUGGAACUGCCAAGCUGUGGUGAAUUGUCCUUUUCAGCGACAGACUCAUUAACUGAUCAGACUGUUUCAAUGGCAUGUGAGAAGAAACACGCAUAAAUAAGCAUAGAAGGAAGGAGACGUUUGAAAAUACAGAUGAUCUGGAAGUUACCAAGAUCUCUUUGUCUGUGUCAACAAACUGCUUUGUCUUUAAAAAGAACGCACUGAGAUUUUGCACUAACAUACUGAACAGCUUCAGAGAUUCCAGUAAUCACUCCAAUGACAUCUAAGCAAGCAAAGAAGAGUUAUUAUAAAAUCACCACCAAACAAACGAGAGAAAAGAUGAUUAGUCACAAAAUUACUUGUAAAGCGUUCAGGCAUAUCUGUAGGCCUAGGGAGCUGAGAUGUUGGAGUCAAUGCAUACGUACAGAAGGGGAACUCUGCUUCCAUUCCAGUUCUCUCCACAAGUUCAGUGCGCUUUGUAAACUUAAUCAUUAAAUGACCUUCCACUGGUCUAAAAACAUACUUCCACAGGAAUACGAGGAACUUCUAAAACUUGACGGUGUACAGAACUGCAAAGCAAAGCAAAACAACAGCAAAUGAGAUAGAAAAACAGAAAGCCUUAAACAUCAGUCAGAAAUUUCAAGCUGUAGUUGCAUGGAAAGGGUAAAUAAAAUGGUACCAGCGUUUAUAGGACCAUAGGCAUGGCCUGACUGGAUUUCAUCUAGAUAUUCGUUAAGCUUCAUCUUAGUAAUUUCAAGCCACAUUGGACUACAUGUAAAAAUAGUAAAAGUAUCAGGGGCCUCAUCCACUCGACAAAUUGUAAGACCAUCCUGAAAGUUCUCCUGGUAGUAACGCCGACCAGUGGUAUGGCUGGACGGCACAAUCGUUUUCAUCGGCAAAAGAGAACCAAUAAGAUGAUGGACCUGACCACAAAUUUUGAAGAUAUUAACCCCCGCGUGCCUUCCAGCGAACGAAUGACGUCGCCACAAUAGACGUAAAUGCAAACGUCCAACUGUGAUGCCGUAUCUUUGUCAGGAAUUGCUUGGAAACACGAUCACCAUGACAGGAUAAUAAACGACUCAAUAAAGCAGGAGGAUUUCUGAAAGGUUUAACAACGACUUUUCCACCUUUGCAACAAAGGUUAUAAACAAUUUUACGUAGCACCCAUGAAGAAUAUGGAUUGGCCCUCUCCUCAAACCAAAAAGAAGCCUUGCAGUGAGGGCACUGGUACUUAGGAGGACCAUAGUAAGAUCUAUCCUUAUAGGAAACUACAGAAAACACAAUACUCAAGGAGGCCGUCAUGACAGGAAAAGGAAAAAACAAAACUAACAUCAACAUAAUAGUUAGUACCUUUGCGAUUGUCAACUACCUCGACAGGAAAACCAGUCCAAUCAGUUGGCAAGUCCCCUUCAAACCGAAGAUCUACAUGCAUGUUGUUAUGAGAAACAACAGCCAAAACAAAGAUACUAAGGAUGGAAAGACAGGAACCCCGACCAAGAAGACCAGUACAUGUAACACCAUGGCAACGAAGGCCCCUAAGUAAUUUACGCCUCUUCCGAUUUCUAGCCGACAUGGCAGGAGUGAGCACUGGGAACCAGGCAUCCCCUAGAAAACGACAGAACCGACACAAAUGAACAGAUGCAAGCCAAACAAAACCUAAGGAAAUGACCAUAUAGACAACAUACCCUUUCUCUUACGAAUACCACAAACACCAACAACAGGAGCAUGCAAAACACUCCGACGGCGAGCCAUCAUCAACAAUGAGCACACAUAUAUGCAAAUACUGCAUAUUAAGACGAAAGCGAAGUAAAGACAGCACAGGUAAAUGCAAAAAAGUAUCAAACAGGAGCACAAGAGACAGUAGAGCCAAUUAAAUGAAAUAAUAAUGAUUCAUGCAUACAAAGAGCUGUUUAUUACAAGCAUACCCAAGGGAACAAUAUAAUGACCAGACAUAAUCUAUCUAAGACACUCCUAGACGGGCUUUAGAACCCAGACACCGAAUUGACCAGCUGUGAAUACAAUAAUUGUAAUUGAACACUUGUAUUUAUACCAGCGACAUCAACCUGCCCGCCUGCAUGUACCAGAGGCCAGGCAGGCUGGGCAAGCGCACCUGCAAGCACCAGAACCGACUGCGCAACACCUUUAUACGCUAACAUGCUAUCGUAAUUGUAAUCUGCAACAACAAACCCAUAUAUCCCUUGUAAAAAUUGGUUUGACACCGCACCACGUCAUCCCUAGUAAGAACAUCAAUCUCCACCCCUCCAAGCAGACAACCAUCGGAUGCCACCUCUCGAACAUAAGAAUGAAACGGCAAUCGACAAUAGCUCGCAACAGCCUCAAGCAGAGGCACACAGGAAGAACUGAUAAUAAACAUGCCUGUAAUAAUUAAUUAUUAAGGAGCAACCGGAAAAAUACCAACCCAGACCAUACAAAGGGAAGAACACAGAAGCUUAUGAAAUAAAUAGUAAUAAACACAACUAAAUAGCAAGCAAUAGGAAACAUAGCAAGGCACGACUUACCCUAUGAACCGAGCAGCAGCUCCGCCAGUAAGUAGUUUCCAACAACAAAGUGGAACCCAAGAACUCAGCUGUAACUGAAACAAGCUGCCAAACAGAAAGUAAGGACCAUGAAAGAAAGCAAGGCAAAUUAAUAAACAGAGAAACCAUAUGUAGAAGAAAUGAAGUCUGUAAUUGAGAAGUGCAGAUAAUCACUAAAGUAGAGAACUAACAUAACAUAAUAGCUGAAGGUGGCAAGCAAAAACAAGCAGACCAGAUGAGCAUAGCAAGCGUGAAACGCAUUCAGGAGCAGUUGGUCAACAUGCAAAGACACAUAAUGAAAGCCUAAAGCAUGGACACCAGAUAACCGAAUCUCACAGCAAGAAGCUAACAGCAGACACCCCCUACCAGAAGGCACCCUCAUUAGCAGAACUGUAAACACAUCAAGCACACAAUCUCAAAUUCUCUUUGUAACCAACCAUGCCAAGUUGCCAACCAUCAUGGACAACAUCUUAACAGCCCGGCGGAGCUCAAAUCCAACACUCUCUUCCUAACCAAACAUCCACCCCUUAAGACAAGGCAAACAUCCAGCACUGAGACCAUUAUAAUGGGCAGAGGGAUACCCAACCAUAAUAACUUAGGCAGACCAAAUCAAUCGACAGAGGUCAAUUAACAGACCAAACCCUUUAUUUUUUCACACGUCACCUGACAAAGAAUAAUGUCACCAAACCAGUCCAAAAGGCGCAUACCCUGGUACAUCGACCUCUUCUGAAAAUCUCACUACAAUCAUAGAGAGAGAAUCCCGGCCCUAGCAAGAUCCAGACAACUAAGAAAAAAAACACCUGUCACGCAUAAGCAAACAAAGGAGGCACAAUCGAGAACUACUAAAAUCUAACCGGAGGACACCACCAUUCGUCUCCAUCAACAUAAAGAGACAAAUGUGAACUACCAAAAUCCAACCAGAGGACCCAACCAAUACAAGAAGAAACCAAACAAAUUCACUGAUUUGCCACCGUCCACACCCAUAUGAUCGACGGACACACCAUACCGAGCAAUACACACAGACAAACAAGAAACAUAAAAACAGAGAUAAGGAAAACGAGAGGUCGACCUGUAGUUUCCUGAUGAAAACGCAAAGACCAGCACAGAUCGACCAGCGGCACAGCAAAUCUAGGCCAAGUGAGGAGGAGAACAACGGACCUGCAAGUAAUAGACACCCAAGAUCCAAAACUGGUCAGACAUGACAAUUCGAACACAGAAAAGAGGAAAGAACCGAGAGGAGAACCACCUUAGCCGACGUCACCCCAGCGCGCCGCCAUCGGAGCCCCUCGGCGACCAACCCAGCGACGACUCAUGGACCAGGGAGCAGGACUACAGAGAGGAUUGAGCAACGAAACGAAAGGAGGAGGGGAGUAGAAGAGGCAGGCGACGACGCAGGAUAAGGGAGACGACCCACGCCCUACGCCGUCGUACAGCUCCGGGCCACGCGAGGUCCGGGUGCCUCUCCCCACGCACGGGCAGCGCGCCUCGACCCCGACAUCGGAUCCGGCACCGCCAUGGGCCGCUCGACGGGGCAGGGGCUGGAACUGGAUGGCGGCGGGGCAGGGAGGCGCGGGCGGGGCUAGGGUUUGGAGGGAGGGAGAGAGGCGAGGCGGCAUGGAGAGGAGAGGGGUGCGGCGCGAGUGCGGGUCUGCGGGGAGAGCGACGACCAGGCGCUCACACCUGCCGCUAUGGGAUAUUUUCCCAGUCAUGCAAAAUGACAGAAAUGCCCCCAGCGGGGCACCGGAAUUGCACGCGGUGGCACGCGUUUUUGACUACUAUUCAUUGUAGCAGUGUCUCCUCUCGAUCCGGCGGCCCAGAUCGUCCGGAGGCUCGAUCCGACGGACGGAAUCGCAUCAGAAAACGAGAUGGACGGCCAGAUGUCGCUGAGCUAUGAGAACGCUCAUGUUCUCCCAACUAACAUAGUACGAAGAUAAUAUUAAAUUAAAUGGCCUCUAGAGUGUGUAGGAAUAUUGUCCCCAGAGCUAUAAUAUUGUUGGCACACCUGAGUAGUAUCACUGAGUACAUCUGACUGUAUAUGAAUAUAGUAACCCCAGAGCCAUACAUAGAUCUGCCCUCUGUGGUGCUUUUAUAGGGAUAUAGUAAAUGUACCAGGGAUACUCAACGACCACCCGGUGUUUCCGGUGGAACGCCGUGCAUCAUGGCAUAUGAUCUCCGCGCAUGCACCAACUCCUCGCCGCAAAAAGGCGCCACGCCGAUGAACGGUGCCACACGCACGACCUCUUCUAUUUUAUGCAACUUGAACUACAGUGGGCGCAUACCACACAUCACAUGGGGGUAUUUAUACACGGGCGCGCACACACGACCCGGCCACUAACAAGUCAUGCAUGCAUGCAGCUCGUCGAUGCCGCCGAUUUUGAAGGAAGUUGCUGGGCGUAGUCCCGCGGCCAGGGCGAGCGAGCCUCUAGGCGUGCGUGCGUAGCACCGAUGGGAGCAUACCCGGGGAGCAGGCAAGCCCCAUCCCUGGCGGCGCACACGAUGUGUUGCAGCGCGUACGUUGCGGCUGGCUUAACUGAUCGCCCACAACUCCAGACGCCUCACCAUCACACGCCUGGCCACAAACCGGCUUGACUCGGACUAUUUGAUUGAACCAACAAAGAUGUUGCACCGCUAAUAAUCUGUCUUUAGAAUAGAUCAUGAACAAACCGAAGCGGUCAACUAACAUUUCUCAGGUACUCCCUCAGUUUAGGUGUGUAAGUCAUCUUACAUUGUGCACCGCGACCAAGCGGCUCGGCUCGCUCAGCCAACGAGCCUACUUCAAGCGGCUCGGCUCGUUUUGGGUACGGCUCGGCUCAGACCGAGCCGGCUCGAAAGCCAGCGGCCACCAGUUUUCAUUUUUACUUACAGAAGAAGAAGACAGAACCUCUGUAUAUAGUCCACAAUCUUGAUUGUUUUGCAGCAAUUAAACCCAUAUUUUAAAAGAAAAACAGUUUAUACUGCUUAAAAUGAAACAUCCAGCAGUAUAUUGUUUUAAGAAAUGGUCAUAGUAAUGAAAAAUAAGCUUUCUUCUAUGAAUUUUUCUAAAAAAAUAAGCUUUCUGCAGUAUAUAACAUUAAAGAAAGAUGGUUAAUUAAACUAUGACCAUCCCAGUGGACCGUAUCUAUAUGUUGUAUCUACUAAUCUACACCAUUUGAUAUCAGAUCAAUUUGUGGCCUAGUUGUCCUACAUCUUACCAAUUGUGGUCACCCUUAAACGGAUGGAUGCGUAGGCAGAGGCAUAGUCAACAGCUGAUUCCACCUCCUUCCUGGGUACUUCUCCACAAUGGCUACAUAGCUAGAUUGAACUCACGGAGAACUCCUUCGUGCAUCGAGUUGUCGGCAGAUCUGGUCCAGGAGACCUCUGCCAGCCACCAGAUGCCCACGGGAAUGACCACCCCCUAAACAGCAGCUGGAGCGAUAGGUGGAAGAGUGGACGCCCAAUUAGUUGCCGGGGUCGCCGGAACGGCAUCGCUCGCAGGGGGGUCGCGGCGCGCGGGAUGGCUCGCCGAUGUCACACGUGGCGGCGCCAAUGGGGAUGCGGGGUAGCGGGGUUAAGGCGACGUCGCGGAGAUCGUGUGGCGGCCUACCGGGGUUACACCGUAUGGCGUGCCUUCCUCGCCGGGGACCGGAUCGACAGCAUGGCAGCUGCAGCCACCUCUCUUGAACGCCAUAGAGUGAAUCCCCGCCGUGGAGGCAGAUCUGUGCGGGGCUGGCAGUGAGGAGUGGCGAGGAGGAGAGAGAUCAACGGAUCUGUGGCAGUGUGUGACGGCGGCGACCUGGAGGAGGCGGUGUGUGACGGCGGCGACCUGGAGGCGGCGGCUCCUCUCGGGGCUGGGGCGGCUCCUCUCGGCGGCGGCGGUGGCGGUGGCUCCUCUCGGGGGCUGGGGCGUCUCCUCUCGGCUGCGGCGGCUCCUCUUGGGGCUCGGGGCUGAGAUGAAACAGAUCGAGAUUGAGGGAGCCUCGUUGGCUGUUUGUUUUAAGUGCGGGUGAGAUACGAAAGAAAAACCAGACCAAAAAAACGACGAAAAAAAACCAAACGAAGAUGGGACGAAAAAACCUACGAAAACUACCAACUGCUUCAUUAGGAGCCUCAUGUUUCAUUUUUUUCUCACCCCCUUCGUCUAACAUUUUAGUAAGCUAAUUAAUCAACUUUUUGAACUCUCCAACCCCUUAUUUAUUCAGAAGAAACCAACAAAGAGUCUAUUACAAUAAGGGAAAGUAAGGCAUUAGGGGCCUCAUCAAACCAGGUGCUAGGGGAGAGAACCUAGCUAAUCUUGCUAACUCGUGGGCAACAGAAUUUGCUUCACGAUGGCGAUGCUUAAACUAACCUAAUUAAUCAACUUAAUUUAUUUAACAAACCAAUUUAAGUUUUGUUUACUUACCAAACUUCUCGUCAAAAUAUAACAUAAAUCACAGGCAUAAUUGUCUUAAUAUGGGCGUAAUAGGUUACUUAUAUCCCAAGAUUCUAUUUACAAAACUGUAUUAAUAUAGGCAGAUAAAUCACAAUCUAAUAUAAUAUAGAUUAUUAUAUCCUCACGGGCAUUACAAUAGUAAAUAACAAGAGAAGAAUAACCGGCCCGAAUAAAUUGCAAUAGUAACCUACAGACAUCCAAAGUUCUUGCCCUUCCCCCACCCCCGCCGCCGCUCCACGAGCGGGCCGGGGAAACCUAGCUCCGCCCCCAGCCUCCCCUCCUUCGGCCUCCUCCUCCCUCGCCGCCGCCUAGGGGUGCCGCCGGGCAAAGCCCGAUCGGCGUGGGCGGCGGCGGGGUCGCUCCCUCUCCUCCUCGCGGAGCUCCCGGCCGGCGCGGGACGGCGGGCUGCAGGAGGCGUCAGGCUGUGGCGGGGCUCGGCGGCGCGAAUCCGGGAGCUCCUGGUGGUGCCGGCGUGUCGGCCCCGCUGGUGCUUCGUGGUGGCGCGGCGACUACUUGGUGGGGCGUGCGUGGGCGUGAUUCGGCGGCGGAUCUGGCCAGGCGGCGCUGGCCGUGGGCGGUGUGGGCGGCGGCUGGGGUCCGGCUUCGGGCUCUCGGCGGCUGCGAUGGUUCCUCUCCGUCGCGGGCGUGCAGCGGUGGUGCUUUGGACGGUGGCGGUCCGGCGACCUGGUGGUGGUGGCCGGCGGUGCACGUGGUGGUGGUGCUUCCACUUGGCGGCUCUCUGUGCCGGGAGGCAGGGGAGCGGCUUGGACGGGGACGGCGACGCCGACGGUGUGCCGGCUGCAGCGCGAAGGCGGGAACUUUACGGGCCUGUGCGGCCACGGGCCUGGUAUGUUCCUGCUAUUGUGUCCGGUCAGCUACCGUCAUCGACGGUGGAGGUGGGGCCCUCCCGCGUGCCGAUGGUGCCGCUGCCCUAGUCCCGGCUCCUCUUCUUCAUUGUGCAGGCCAUGCUUCGCGGUGCCGUGGUGAGACAGCGUAGGAAGCUUCAUGUCCGGGUUGGCGCAGGGUGGUGGUCGGUUUGAUGGUGAGCUCCGGAGUGCCUGAGGUGAAGGUUGGGAUCAGGAGAAAUCCCUGUUGGCUUGGCCGACACCGACGCGGUGGCGCAUGAUGAUGCCGCCGGACCUUCCUGGAGGGCGUCGAGGCUACCCUUCCUCUCUCCUCACACGGUACCGGGGGAAACCCUUGGCAGCAGCGUCGUCAUCGUCGCGACCCUUCUUGGAGGAGUUGAUUGGUACCGGCGCUUUGGAGGCUCGGAGCUUCGUGGGCGAUCUCCGGUGGAUGCAGCGGCCACGAGGCUUCUUCGUUUUUUGUCGAUCCGCCGCUGUCGGCAUUUGUUUCUCUUAUAUUUUCUCUUUCAUUUUUUUGGGCGUGACUGUGCUGCUUCUACCCCAGCACCUAUCGUUGAUUGUCUCGGUUGAUUGCUUUGUAUACAAAGCGAAGGAAACCCUUUUUCGGUAAUUGCAAUAGUAAAUAACAAGAGAAGAAUAGCCGGCCCGAAUAAAUUGCAUUCUCUAGCCCCCGACACCAGCUUUUCUUAAGAAACAUCUCUUCUUUCCCUUUCCAUUUUCAAAAUUGGGAAUGUAAAGAUGAAACAAAUACUACAAUUAGAUCAGGUUUAGUCCUAAACUUCGAACUUAUAAAAGAAAAUAAAAAAGAAUACUUAUCAAAGAAUAUUUUUUUGCUCCACUUAAUAGACAAGCAGAAUAGAUUUGUCACUGAAGACUUCCCGACAAGGUCAGGCCGGUUAUGAAGCGACAACAGCUACGCGUCGGUGUCUCAUUCUAGCGGCAGCAAUGGUCGUUCGAUUUGAUGGUCCAGGACCUUGAUGUAUAACACUAGGAAAAAGGCCUGUGCGUUGCAACGGGGAGAAAAGAGACUUAGCACCGCAUAACUCGAGGCCCCUUAGCAGACUUGCACAAACUAAAUAUGCAAUACUCGGGCAGUUCCCUACUAACACUGACAAUAAACUAUAAGAUAUGAUCAAUCCUAGAGGUUAAGGAAAUCAGCAGCUAUAUUUUCCCUAUUUAUGUGCUCUGAUCGUGGUAUUGCCGUUGUUGAAGGCAUACAUGUGGGCCCCGUUGUCGACAACCUCUACGGGAUAAACUAUGGCCAUGAUGCAGACCCUGCUGCCACCGCCGAAGCUCUCCACCGCUGAUGGAUCAAUCUGCAUGACACAUCAUUCAUGUUCAGUUCUGACACAAAGUGCGCGAAGUGAACAACAUGAGAAAUGAAAUAGCUUCCCAAACUCACCAGAGUUCUCAGAGAUAUCUUCUUUUCCUUUUGAAGAUCAGAUUCAAAGAAGCCUCCAUAGGCUGGUGUGUAUAGUCCUAGUCUUAAUGAAGAACUGUGCAAAAGAAAAGAAAAUAUUUAUUUUUACUCUUCAGACAUUUUUAGAGAUAAAUAAAACAUUAAGGCAAAAACCAUAAGCAUUAACCUUCUUCAGAUUAGCCACAGUUGCUCUGAAAAAUAUAUAGAACACCUAACAUGCCAUUCCUUUUGUUACCAAAUAUGUAAAAUUCUAUAUAAACUUCAGAAGACCCUGCAUCAUUUACUGACCUGAAACUUUUUGAGGUAAAUUUUUUGUUUGGAUGACCAAGGCAAGCCUGUUUGUGUAAAGGAAAGUACCUGAAAACUGUCAGCUCCCUUAAUCUCAAAUAAACCUCCUUUCUUCAGCUCUAGUCCAUGACGGUUGAUUUCAUUUCCUCGAAGGGACUCGACCUCUUGAACUGGCUAGUGAAGCAACUGCUUGCCAUGGCUGUCUAACCAAAUUGUCCCGGGAAUUGCCUAAAAUUAAUAGCAAAAAAUGUUAAAGUUGCUACACUGAUUGCUAAAUCAAUAUUUCAAUAUGAAGCAGUUAUAGCCAAUGAGAGGCAGAUUUUUUUACAUGGAUUCCAGCCCAAGCUUUUGCUACAUCGUCUGAAGAACUGUCAGUCUUGUUAGUCCAACCCGGUAUGAUUCUCCUGCCCUUCUACGAGUCGAAAUUACCAUAAUCGAUCCUCGACCAUAGCUGACAGUCAUCUAGAAUAAAGGUGUCACUUUUCAGAUCAUAAACCCCAAUCAUGUACUUGUCACAGGAAUAUCCAAAACAGUCAUUCAUGCCCAACUUCUCUGAAGUUCGAGGCAGCGGUUGGCAUUAUUUUUCCUGUUAGUCUUAACUUUUUCCUUUUUUUGUGAUUUUGAAAUUUUGAUUUCCUAAAAAGUUGAAAGCUUGGAAUUCUCAAAGUCAAAAGAUCUAAAAGCUCAAAUUUCAAAAGGUUGAAACUUGAAUUCGAGAUUCUAAAACUGAAAUUUCAAAAGUUUCAAAUUCCGAAAGCCGACACACAAAUUUCUAAAAAUCCGCACCACAAAUUCCAAAAGUCCCCAAAAAAGAAAACUUUCUAAAAUGGUAUGUUCUUGUUUUUAGCAGAUGUACUCCCUCCAUUCCAAAAUACUUGUAGUGGUUUUAGUCCAAAGUUAAAAAAGAGCCUACCAGCGCAGCCACGAGUUAACCAUGUCAUUUCAGGAUAUUUCAUAGGGUAUGGGGAGUCUGGAAAAGAAGGUGCUCUGUACGUGAGAAAUUAACUCUCUCUAAAAUUUCCACUACUAACUGCGAUGAAACACUAAACAUGGGUUUCUGACAAAUAAACAACUUCUCAAUCCUAAUCCACCAACGAACUCAUACCCUUAAACUCACAUUUUCCCUUUCUGUGAAAAAGGAAAUUGCUUCUGGAUCUAAGGCUCCAAGGAGCCCGAUUUUCGGAAAUUUAUAAAGAAUUUUGAAAAACUUUGAAGUUUCAAAUUGUGAAAACGAACACAUGUACGUAGGGAUGUACACUACAUGUAUGUGCAGUUUCAUGAUGAAAAAUCAUGUAUAUCUAGCCGGCACACUAUUCACUAUGGAAGUUCAUGAUUUUAUUUUUCGUAGCUCACAUCGUAACUUAUCUCAUCAUGAAAACUUACAGACAUGUAAUAUACAUCCAUAUAUAUGUGUAUAUUUUGUUUCAGAUUUUGAAACUUUAAAAUAUGAUGAUCUUACCUGUUCAGCACCCACCAUUGAAGAGAAAACCCAUCCCAUCUGUGACAGAGACAAAGGCACCUCAAACAAACAGGAACGGUCAUGAAAAAUGCACUCGAGACCAUCAUCAUCAGCCUAGAUGCAUUAGUUCAUUGUUCAACCCAUACAAGGUCUGCACCACGAUCUGCUACCUACUACUCCUAUCUAGGUUAAAAAUCCUGCUACACUGAGACCGAGAGUGCGGCGAUUCUACAUGCAACCAGCACGAAACUGCAUUAGCCGAGUCUCCAGCAUCAUCGAAGAAAUUGCUUCUCUAACAAACUGCAAAAGAAACAAACAUAUUUGACUGUCAGCAUUUAUAUGGAUAGAUCCGAACUGUAUACAAGAGCAUUUUAUAUAGUAUACUUCAGAACUGCUGAUCAAGUCUAAGGGGGCUGACUGACGUAAAGACAAACAGAGCCCUUGCGAAGAGGAGAGGAUUUAAGACAACAAGGAAAACUAUCCUGACAGUUUCUACGAGUACAUAUCUGAUGUUGGUCGAUUAGUUUGGGCAUUUGGCAACACAGAAGUCCUAGACUUCAUGAAUAAACUGCAGCUCCCCAUGUAUUUUCAUAGCUAGCAGAAGUAACAAAAUAAGGUUGCCAUGCUCGAAAUCUCAAACCAAUACGGAAAUGGGAGAAACAGCAGUGCGUUUUGUGAAAACAUCUAACUCCAGUGCUGGAAAAACAGUUAUGUUUGGUCAUAACUCAUAAGCAAGCGGGUUUGUAUUUUUUUUUAUCCGCAAACUGAGCUUGGCCAAUUAUCAAAUCGGUGCUUCGGCAAAAGAUAAAGAAAUAUUGGAUUCAAGUAUUCAACCUAGGCAAAUAAUGGUAAGAACAAUGUACCUGCGCUCCGAUCGAACAUUGUAUUGCAAGCACACAUCUUCACUUCUAUUCAUCCUCAGAGUCAUCGGAAGUUUGGUCGCUUUCAUAGUCUGGGAUUGCUCUAAAAAUGUAGACCUGCAUCAUUUACAUAACUAAUGAGGUUGCACAAUAUGGCACUUGGCAGUGAGAUAAAACAACCUCCUCACGAUUAGGCCUUAAAAGAAUCCCUUCCAUUAUCUAAAAAGAUAUAAUUGUGGACAAUUAAAGGCCUGUGAACUGUGAAGGAAGUAAUUCCUAGAGGCACUUUUAGAUCUGGCUGGAAUGAAGGCAUAUACAGUAGGGAUGCUUAGCAAUAACAUCAUUUCCUGCAAACUGUGUGCAGAAUUAAUGGGCAGUCCAAUUGUUAUUGUCUAAAACCAAAAAGGAAUAAGAAAAAUAAUACUCCCUCCGUCCCAAAAUAUAAGAACGUUCUUAUAUUUUGGGACGGAGGGAGUAUUUGAUAACAGUGUUGCAAUUCCCCUAACAAAUUUCUGUGAAGUCUUGCUAGCUGGUAUAAAAUGCGAACUUAUUAUAUUAUCACUGCCAACCACUAAUGCAAAAUCUUGACCUUGUUUCCCUCGAAAAGACUACUUUUCCACAUGAAGUUAUUUACAAAAAAGGGACAUCUUCCAUGGUUCUAAAGUUAAAACUACACAAUAAUAAAUAGCUCAAACUCAUGCACACCAUCAGCCAAAACACUGUUAACUGAUAGGUUUCGGUACUCUUUUAUACUCUGAAUUCUAGACUCUCGAGCACUGAAAUCAGCAGGCAUGCAUACAACACAAGCAAACGAUGGGUUUGCUAUAAUGUAAGUAAUGAAAAAUACAAAAUUUAAAUGCUUCUCAAAAGUGAUCAAACACGAUCUAUUACCACAAUUUCACAGCAGACUGAAAUCUAUAAUCUGCUGCAUCUUAACUUCAAACAAAAUAGGUCUGAUCCAUUCUUGCCAAUCGAAAGAGAUAUUAAUCUACAGAAUCAAGCAUACACAAGACAUACCUUUGCUUCACAUGUCCCGAUGACAAAGUCUAAAUCACCAGUGACCAGAAGGGACUCCAACGCCUGUAACUUCCCGCCGCCGGGCAGAUGAGUGAAGAGCGGGAGGCCAGGGCCGUAGGAGAGGCCGGGCGAGGUGGGGGUGCAGCGGCGACCUGGGUGUCAGGGAUGGCGGAUCCAAGAAUUCAACUUUGGGUGUUCAAAUUUUCUUUUUCGCCCUAAUAUCGACCUUUUUCCCCGUUUCAGCCUUAAAAAUUUCAUUUGUUAUUUUUCACUAAUGGAAUCAAUCACAUCAGGAUAGUGCUAUGUACAAAGCUACAUCUCUCUAAAUCAAAACAGAAGCUACAGGUCAACGAAUGCAAUUUCAGAUUGGAACUUUGAAGGGGAUUGGUGUACUCUUGGCUUGAUGAGUUCUCCAUCGGCGUAGCCGCACAAAGCUGAGUUGGCCACGGGUGCAUGCAGUACUGGUCUGCAGCCUAGUUUAUCUGGACUGAAGCUGAGUUGAGUAAUCUCACGCUGCGUACUCUCUAAACUCAAGCAUGUACGCAGUAUUUUUUGUCAUAUACCUAUAUAAAUGGAUUUUUUGCAGAAUUUUUUGGAUGUAUAGAUGUACACCCAUGACCUGUGCUGUUAGCAGGCUUGCCAGUACUACGCCAUCGUCCCAACCGCCAGUCGAGGCCGACGAAGGAACGGCCCAAGGCCCAGCUAGGAGAGCCCGCAAGCCCAACAAACGAGUGGCUGGCGAGGAGUGGGUGAACACGACCCAGGAAGCAUAAAGCAGGGGAUCGCUCUCUGGACAAGGAUCGAAGAUCGAUCAGGCUGGAACGGCACGGCGGCGGCGGCUACCUACUUAGAACCCUAGUUCCUUUCCCUUUUCCUUCCUGUAUCCAGCACUGAUGUGCUUGUAAGAAGAGAAUCCUGUACUCUGAACCACAUACAUACCUGAGACAGUAGUGCAGUCCUAACACUUGGUACUCAGAGCCAGGACCCAAUUUUGCUUCCGCCCUGGCGGCUUCCAUCAUCGAGACACGACAGCAGAGGGCAGACCGACUGCAACGGGAGGCCAUGGAUCCCGUCACCAAGGCCGACCUCAAGGACCUCUUGAAGGAGCUUCGAGCGGAAUGGAGGGAAGACAUCAAGUCUUCGGUCGCUGCGGAAUUCGCAUCCUGGAAGCCUGAGAUCGACUCGAAGAUGGCUGAUCUGCAAGAGGCAGUCGACUUACUCAAGCAGAAGCAAGCGAGCGGCAAGAUCGAUGACGCGGGGGAGGCGUUGGCGCCAGAUCACCCUGAUCUGGUGGCGCGGAAGAGCACUUCGUCUUCGGACGAUUCUCCGGCGCGCGUUUCUCCUCGGGCUGAUGGCCACGGCACUGCCUCACCUCCACGGACGGCGGUUGACGGGCUGUUCAUCAGUCCGCCGGCCCCUCCGGCCAACGGUACGGUCCACCCACAACUUCCAUCGUCUGCUGUAGCCACUGCUAUAUCACCAACUACUCCGUCACCAUUUUUUUCCUUGCACGCUCCUAGUCCACCAACCAUGCCAUUUCCGUUGUUUGAUGGCGAAAAUCCACUCCUUUGGAAGGAUCUCUGUGAGCAGUACUUUGCUAUCUAUGGUAUUCAGGAGUCCGUUUGGGUCCAGAUGGCUACUCUGAAUUUUUCCCCUACUACAGCAGUGUGGUUACAGUCUGUUAGGAAAAAGGUUAUGGCCUUGAAUUGGGAGGGGUUAUGCAAUUUGCUCUCCACCCGUUUCGGUCGGGAUCGACACCAGCUACUGAUCAGACAAUUCUUUGCCAUUAAGCAAUCUAGCACAGUCCAGGAUUACAUUGAGAGAUUUGAGCAUUUGAUGAACCAAUUGUUAUCAUAUUCUGAUGAAAUUCAUCCUUUCUAUUUUUUGACACGCUUCAUCGGUGGACUUCGGGCGGAUUUGCGAGCGGCGAUCAUGGUCCAACGCCCUGCUGAUUUGGACACAGCCUGUGCUCUCGCCCUGGUCCAGGAGGAGGUGCAAGAUGGAGUGCGACCGGAGAACAUACGUUUUCCGGAGCAAGCUUAUCGACCAGCGCCACGCCUUCCUUUACAGGCAGUUCCUCUUCAUCAACCACGACCACCUACAACACCAGCCGCGGUUGAUCGUUGUGGUGUGGAGGCAGCUCGUGCAGCCCCCGUCGAGCAACCACGUCCGCAACCAGCGGAAGCUAAUCCCCUCAACACCUUACGGGCGUACAGACGAGCUCGUGGGCUCUGUUUCAAGUGUGGCGAGCGUUGGGGACGCGACCACACUUGCCCUGCAACCAUUCAGAUGCAUGUACUAGAGGAACUCAUGGAUUUCUUGGGAGUCACACCGUCAGAGGAAGCAGAGCCGAGCAACACUUCUGACACCACUGAAGAAACAGUGUAUGCAGUCUCUUUACAAGCGUUCAAUGGGAAUGAUUCUUCCAAGUUGUUGCAAUUUAGUGCCACAAUCCAGGGACAAAGUGUGGAAGUAUUAGUGGAUUCUGGGAGCUCAGCGUCCUUUAUCAAUUCUCGUUGUGUGGGGGGACUCCAAGGACUGCAACCUAUGGCCAAACCAGCUCGUGUUAAAGUGGCCAAUGGAGCGGAACUGCAAUGUGAUCAGGAGUUGCUCAACUGCCAAUGGACAGUCCAGAAUCAUCAGUUGUUGGCGUCACUAAAGGUAUUACCACUUGGAGGGUUUGAUGUCAUUGUCGGGAUGGAUUGGUUGGAAGCAUUCAAUCCAGCCAUUGAUUGGAUCAACAAGACUGUCACACUCCAGUCAGAAACUGGUCCCAUCCAAUUGCAAGGCCAUAAGUUCUCCGCAUCGAAUUGCCCGCAAAUUUCAUCAGAAGAGCUGCACUUCAUGUGUGUACAGGGAGAAGUGGAUCACCUGGUUUAUGUAUGCUCAAAGGAUGCCAAGCCAGUACAGAAAGGUGCAGAAUCACCGGAUCCACCAGUUGAAAUCCAACACCUCUUGGAUGAGUUAUCAGAUGUGGUUGCAGCACCGCAAGGCCUUCCUCCCAACAGAGCAUGUGAUCAUCGUAUUCCCCUCUUGCCAGGAGCUCAACCUAUCAGCAUUCGCCCUUAUCGGCACUCACCAGAAACAAAAACGGAGAUCGAACGACAAGUUGAAGAGUUGCUCGCGUCUGGCAUCAUCCAACACUCCAACAGCCCGUUUGCCUCACCAGCCAUCCUAGUCAGGAAGAAGGACGGACAAUGGCGUUUGUGUAUUGAUUAUCGCAAACUGAAUGCAUUGACUGUCACACCAAAAUUCCCCCUUCCGGUCAUCGAUGAACUUUUGGAUGAAUUGUCCGGAGCGAGCUGGUUCUCCAAGCUGGACCUCCGUGCCGGCUAUCACCAGAUCAGGUUAGCAGCGGGAGAGGAAUACAAGACAGCCUUUCAGACACACUCCGGCCACUAUGAGUACAAGGUCCUUCCUUUUGGAGUUUCUGGAGGCCCGGCCACGUUUCAAGGGGGCAUGAAUCACACUUUGAAGCCUGUGUCGCGCCGCUGCGCAUUGGUAUUCUUUGAUGACAUUUUGGUAUUCUCCAUCUCUUUUGAAGAUCACAUCAAGCACCUCCGUGAAGUGUUGCAACUAUUGCGUCAAGAUCAAUGGCAAGUCAAAUUUUCCAAGUGCUCAUUUGCUCAGAGAGAACUCUCUUACUUGGGUUUUGUUGUGAGCCAGCAAGGUGUUUCUACCGAGCCCGAGAAGAUCCAGAAAGUCCAACAAUGGCCAGUGCCUCUCAAUGUCAAGCAAUUACGACAGUUUUUGGGUCUUUCCGGAUAUUACCGUAAGUUUGUUCGCCACUAUGGGGUAAUUGCUAAACCCUUGACUCAUUUGCUGAAGAAGCAUGUCCCAUUCGUGUGGACCAGUGAAUGUACCACAUCAUUUGAAACACUGAAAAAUGCCCUAGUGACAGCUCCAGUCCUUGCCUUGCCCAACUUCACGAAGGAAUUUGUCGUUGAGACCGACACCAGUGAUUUGGGAGUUGGAGCAGUCUUACAACAAGAAGGCCACCCCUUGGCAUUCUUGAGUAAACCUCUUGGCCCAAAAAACAGAGGAUUGUCUACUUAUGAAAAAGAACUUCUCGCUAUUCUGUUGGCUGUGGAGCAUUGGCGAUCGUACCUUCAAUCAGCUAAGUUCAUCAUCAAAACGGACCAGCGUAGUCUGGUUCACCUCGAAGACCAACGUCUCCACACCCCAUGGCAACACAAGGCGUUCACCAAGCUUCUCGGGCUGCGCUACAAAAUAUGCUAUCGAAAAGGUGCGGAUAAUGGAGCAGCUGAUGCACUUUCACGCCGUCCUUUCUCUGACACCGAUGAAUUGUAUGCUAUUUCCCUGUGCAAAACGGAAUGGAUCAAAGACGUGCGAGAAGGGUAUGCACAGGAUACGGCAACACAGAAGAUAGUGGAGGACUUACAGGCUAAUCCCCAAUCCCAUAAAAAAUUUACACUUUCAGAGGGCAUUUUACGCUACCAAGGGCGUAUUUGGAUUGGGAGGAAUUCCCAAUUGCAACAACAAGUAUUAAUAGCAGGGCAUCAAUCUGCCGUCGGGGGGCACUCUGGCGCACCAGCCACAUACCAGCGGCUGAAGACGGUAUGUGCGUGGCCGCGUAUGAAACAUGCAGUGACUGAAUUUGUCCAAUCCUGUGCAGUUUGCCAACAGGCCAAGCCCGAGAGAUGCAAGUACCCCGGCCUCCUUGAACCCCUUCCGGUUCCUGUUCGUGCAUGGCAGAUGGUUUCUAUGGAUUUCAUCGAAGGAUUGCCACGGUCAGGACGAUUCAAUUGCAUUUUGGUCGUCGUGGAUAAGUUCUCCAAAUACAGCCAUUUCCUACCAUUGUCGCAUCCAUUCUCUGCUUCCCAAGUGGCAACUACUUAUGUGGAUCAAGUUUACAGACUGCAUGGACUACCAGAUUCUAUUCUAUCCGACCGAGAUCCAAUCUUUACAAGCAGAUUCUGGCAAGAGCUCUUUCGACAAACCCAAACAACCCUUCGGAUGAGCACACCAUAUCACCCAGCCACGGAUGGGCAAACUGAGCGUACAAACCAAUGCCUCGAGACUUUCCUCAGAUGUUUUGUGCAUUCUUGUCCAAAGAAAUGGAGUUCAUGGCUUCCUCUUGCUGAAUUCUGGUUUAACACCAGCUGGCACAGUGCUCUUGGGAAAUCCCCCUUCUUUGUCCUUUACGGCCACAAACCUCGACAUUGGGGUAUCGAAGCAGCCUCAGCCACUCCAGUUUCUGAUCUGAACACUUGGUUAUCAGAACGGGAAGAAAUGCAAGCUCUAAUUCGACAACACCUCCUCCGAGCUCAGACGAGAAUGAAAAACCAAGCUGACAAGAACCGAUCUGAACGAAGCUUUGAAAUUGGGGAUUCUGUCUACAUUAAACUCCAACCUUAUGUUCAGAGUUCUGUUGCUCGCCGAGCGUGUCAUAAGCUCUCGUUUCGCUACUUUGGGCCAUUUCUGGUGCAAGCUCGCAUUGGACAAGUGGCUUACCGUGUGGGUUUACCAGAGACUUCGAAGAUCCAUCCCGUCUUUCACGUCUCGCAGCUUCGCAAGGCUGUGAAACCAGGUGUGUCUGUUUCCUCUGUUCUUCCUCACAAUACUAAUCAGUUUGCGGUUCCUUUGGAAGUGCUUGACAGUCGCCAAAAGACCAAGGCCAAUAGAGUGGUUGAACAAGUGCUCGUCCGUUGGUCUGGUGACACUCUGGAGCCGACGUGGGAGGAUCGUGACGAGCUCCAGUCACGUUUUCCGUGCGCCACGGCUUGGGGACAAGCCGCAACUCAAGCAGGGGAGGGUGUUAGCAGGCUUGCCAGUACUACGCCAUCGUCCCAACCGCCAGUCGAGGCCGACGAAGGAACGGCCCAAGGCCCAGCUAGGAGAGCCCGCAAGCCCAACAAACGAGUGGCUGGCGAGGAGUGGGUGAACACGACCCAGGAAGCAUAAAGCAGGGGAUCACUCUCUGGACAAGGAUCGAAGAUCGAUCAGGCUGGAACGGCACGGCGGAGGCGGCUACCUACUUAGAACCCUAGUUCCUUUCCCUUUUCCUUCCUGUAUCCAGCACUGAUGUGCUUGUAAGAAGAGAAUCCUGUACUCUGAACCACAUACAUACCUGAGACAGUAGUGCAGUCCUAACACUUGGUACUCAGAGCCAGGACCCAAUUUUGCUUCCGCCCUGGCGGCUUCCAUCAUCGAGACACGACAGCAGAGGGCAGACCGACUGCAACGGGAGGCCAUGGAUCCCGUCACCAAGGCCGACCUCAAGGACCUCUUGAAGGAGCUUCGAGCGGAAUGGAGGGAAGACAUCAAGUCUUCGGUCGCUGCGGAAUUCGCAUCCUGGAAGCCUGAGAUCGACUCGAAGAUGGCUGAUCUGCAAGAGGCAGUCGACUUACUCAAGCAGAAGCAAGCGAGCGGCAAGAUCGAUGACGCGGGGGAGGCGUUGGCGCCAGAUCACCCUGAUCUGGUGGCGCGGAAGAGCACUUCGUCUUCGGACGAUUCUCCGGCGCGCGUUUCUCCUCGGGCUGAUGGCCACGGCACUGCCUCACCUCCACGGACGGCGGUUGACGGGCUGUUCAUCAGUCCGCCGGCCCCUCCGGCCAACGGUACGGUCCACCCACAACUUCCAUCGUCUGCUGUAGCCACUGCUAUAUCACCAACUACUCCGUCACCAUUUUUUUCCUUGCACGCUCCUAGUCCACCAACCAUGCCAUUUCCGUUGUUUGAUGGCGAAAAUCCACUCCUUUGGAAGGAUCUCUGGGAGCAGUACUUUGCUAUCUAUGGUAUUCAGGAGUCCGUUUGGGUCCAGAUGGCUACUCUGAAUUUUCCCCCUACUACAGCAGUGUGGUUACAGUCUGUUAGGAAAAAGGUUAUGGCCUUGAAUUGGGAGGGGUUAUGCAAUUUGCUCUCCACCCGUUUCGGUCGGGAUCGACACCAGCUACUGAUCAGACAAUUCUUUGCCAUUAAGCAAUCUAGCACAGUCCAGGAUUACAUUGAGAGAUUUGAGCAUUUGAUGAACCAAUUGUUAUCAUAUUCUGAUGAAAUUCAUCCUUUCUAUUUUUUGACACGCUUCAUCGGUGGACUUCGGGCGGAUUUGCGAGCGGCGAUCAUGGUCCAACGCCCUGCUGAUUUGGACACAGCCUGUGCUCUCGCCCUGGUCCAGGAGGAGGUGCAAGAUGGAGUGCGACCGGAGAACAUACGUUUUCCGGAGCAAGCUUAUCGACCAGCGCCACGCCUUCCUUUACAGGCAGUUCCUCUUCAUCAACCACGACCACCUACAACACCAGCCGCGGUUGAUCGUUGUGGUGUGGAGGCAGCUCGUGCAGCCCCCGUCGAGCAACCACGUCCGCAACCAGCGGAAGCUAAUCCCCUCAACACCUUACGGGCGUACAGACGAGCUCGUGGGCUCUGUUUCAAGUGUGGCGAGCGUUGGGGACGCGACCACACUUGCCCUGCAACCAUUCAGAUGCAUGUACUAGAGGAACUCAUGGAUUUCUUGGGAGUCACACCGUCAGAGGAAGCAGAGCCGAGCAACACUUCUGACACCACUGAAGAAACAGUGUAUGCAGUCUCUUUACAAGCGUUCAAUGGGAAUGAUUCUUCCAAGUUGUUGCAAUUUAGUGCCACAAUCCAGGGACAAAGUGUGGAAGUAUUAGUGGAUUCUGGGAGCUCAGCGUCCUUUAUCAAUUCUCGUUGUGUGGGGGGACUCCAAGGACUGCAACCUAUGGCCAAACCAGCUCGUGUUAAAGUGGCCAAUGGAGCGGAACUGCAAUGUGAUCAGGAGUUGCUCAACUGCCAAUGGACAGUCCAGAAUCAUCAGUUGUUGGCGUCACUAAAGGUAUUACCACUUGGAGGGUUUGAUGUCAUUGUCGGGAUGGAUUGGUUGGAAGCAUUCAAUCCAGCCAUUGAUUGGAUCAACAAGACUGUCACACUCCAGUCAGAAACUGGUCCCAUCCAAUUGCAAGGCCAUAAGUUCUCCGCAUCGAAUUGCCCGCAAAUUUCAUCAGAAGAGCUGCACUUCAUGUGUGUACAGGGAGAAGUGGAUCACCUGGUUUAUGUAUGCUCAAAGGAUGCCAAGCCAGUACAGAAAGGUGCAGAAUCACCGGAUCCACCAGUUGAAAUCCAACACCUCUUGGAUGAGUUCUCAGAUGUGUUUGCAGCACCGCAAGGCCUUCCUCCCAACAGAGCAUGUGAUCAUCGUAUUCCCCUCUUGCCAGGAGCUCAACCUAUCAGCAUUCGCCCUUAUCGGCACUCACCAGAAACAAAAACGGAGAUCGAACGACAAGUUGAAGAGUUGCUCGCGUCUGGCAUCAUCCAACACUCCAACAGCCCGUUUGCCUCACCAGCCAUCCUAGUCAGGAAGAAGGACGGACAAUGGCGUUUGUGUAUUGAUUAUCGCAAACUGAAUGCAUUGACUGUCACACCAAAAUUCCCCCUUCCGGUCAUCGAUGAACUUUUGGAUGAAUUGUCCGGAGCGAGCUGGUUCUCCAAGCUGGACCUCCGUGCCGGCUAUCACCAGAUCAGGUUAGCAGCGGGAGAGGAAUACAAGACAGCCUUUCAGACACACUCCGGCCACUAUGAGUACAAGGUCCUUCCUUUUGGAGUUUCUGGAGGCCCGGCCACGUUUCAAGGGGGCAUGAAUCACACUUUGAAGCCUGUGUCGCGCCGCUGCGCAUUGGUAUUCUUUGAUGACAUUUUGGUAUUCUCCAUCUCUUUUGAAGAUCACAUCAAGCACCUCCGUGAAGUGUUGCAACUAUUGCGUCAAGAUCAAUGGCAAGUCAAAUUUUCCAAGUGCUCAUUUGCUCAGAGAGAACUCUCUUACUUGGGUUUUGUUGUGAGCCAGCAAGGUGUUUCUACCGAGCCCGAGAAGAUCCAGAAAGUCCAACAAUGGCCAGUGCCUCUCAAUGUCAAGCAAUUACGACAGUUUUUGGGUCUUUCCGGAUAUUACCGUAAGUUUGUUCGCCACUAUGGGGUAAUUGCUAAACCCUUGACUCAUUUGCUGAAGAAGCAUGUCCCAUUCGUGUGGACCAGUGAAUGUACCACAUCAUUUGAAACACUGAAAAAUGCCCUAGUGACAGCUCCAGUCCUUGCCUUGCCCAACUUCACGAAGGAAUUUGUCGUUGAGACCGACGCCAGUGAUUUGGGAGUUGGAGCAGUCUUACAACAAGAAGGCCACCCCUUGGCAUUCUUGAGUAAACCUCUUGGCCCAAAAAACAGAGGAUUGUCUACUUAUGAAAAAGAACUUCUCGCUAUUCUGUUGGCUGUGGAGCAUUGGCGAUCGUACCUUCAAUCAGCUAAGUUCAUCAUCAAAACGGACCAGCGUAGUCUGGUUCACCUCGAAGACCAACGUCUCCACACCCCAUGGCAACACAAGGCGUUCACCAAGCUUCUCGGGCUGCGCUACAAAAUAUGCUAUCGAAAAGGUGCGGAUAAUGGAGCAGCUGAUGCACUUUCACGCCGUCCUUUCUCUGACACCGAUGAAUUGUAUGCUAUUUCCCUGUGCAAACCGGAAUGGAUCAAAGACGUGCGAGAAGGGUAUGCACAGGAUACGGCAACACAGAAGAUAGUGGAGGACUUACAGGCUAAUCCCCAAUCCCAUAAAAAAUUUACACUUUCAGAGGGCAUUUUACGCUACCAAGGGCGUAUUUGGAUUGGGAGGAAUUCCCAAUUGCAACAACAACUAUUAAUAGCAGGGCAUCAAUCUGCCGUCGGGGGGCACUCUGGCGCACCAGCCACAUACCAGCGGCUGAAGACGGUAUGUGCGUGGCCGCGUAUGAAACAUGCAGUGACUGAAUUUGUCCAAUCCUGUGCAGUUUGCCAACAGGCCAAGCCCGAGAGAUGCAAGUACCCCGGCCUCCUUGAACCCCUUCCGGUUCCUGUUCGUGCAUGGCAGAUGGUUUCUAUGGAUUUCAUCGAAGGAUUGCCACGGUCAGGACGAUUCAAUUGCAUUUUGGUCGUCGUGGAUAAGUUCUCCAAAUACAGCCAUUUCCUACCAUUGUCGCAUCCAUUCUCUGCUUCCCAAGUGGCAACUACUUAUGUGGAUAAAGUUUACAGACUGCAUGGACUACCAGAUUCUAUUCUAUCCGACCGAGAUCCAAUCUUUACAAGCAGAUUCUGGCAAGAGCUCUUUCGACAAACCCAAACAACCCUUCGGAUGAGCACACCAUAUCACCCGGCCACGGAUGGGCAAACUGAGCGUACAAACCAAUGCCUCGAGACUUUCCUCAGAUGUUUUGUGCAUUCUUGUCCAAAGAAAUGGAGUUCAUGGCUUCCUCUUGCUGAAUUCUGGUUUAACACCAGCUGGCACAGUGCUCUUGGGAAAUCCCCCUUCUUUGUCCUUUACGGCCACGAACCUCGACAUUGGGGUAUCGAAGCAGCCUCAGCCACUCCAGUUUCUGAUCUGAACACUUGGUUAUCAGAACGGGAAGAAAUGCAAGCUCUAAUUCGACAACACCUCCUCCGAGCUCAGACGAGAAUGAAACACCAAGCUGACAAGAACCGAUCUGAACGAAGCUUUGAAAUUGGGGAUUCUGUCUACAUUAAACUCCAACCUUAUGUUCAGAGUUCUGUUGCUCGCCGAGCGUGUCAUAAGCUCUCGUUUCGCUACUUUGGGCCAUUUCUGGUGCAAGCUCGCAUUGGACAAGUGGCUUACCGUGUGGGUUUACCAGAGACUUCGAAGAUCCAUCCCGUCUUUCACGUCUCGCAGCUUCGCAAGGCUGUGAAACCAGGUGUGUCUGUUUCCUCUGUUCUUCCUCACAAUACUAAUCAGUUUGCGGUUCCUUUGGAAGUGCUUGACAGUCGCCAAAAGACCAAGGCCAAUAGAGUGGUUGAACAAGUGCUCGUCCGUUGGUCUGGUGACACUCUGGAGCCGACGUGGGAGGAUCGUGACGAGCUCCAGUCACGUUUUCCGUGCGCCGCGGCUUGGGGACAAGCCGCAACUCAAGCAGGGGAGGGUGUUAGCAGGCUUGCCAGUACUACGCCAUCGUCCCAACCGCCAGUCGAGGCCGACGAAGGAACGGCCCAAGGCCCAGCUAGGAGAGCCAGCAAGCCCAACAAACGAGUGGCUGGCGAGGAGUGGGUGAACACGACCCAGGAAGCAUAAAGCAGGGGAUCGCUCUCUGGACAAGGAUCGAAGAUCGAUCAGGCUGGAACGGCACGGCGGCGGCGGCUACCUACUUAGAACCCUAGUUCCUUUCCCUUUUCCUUCCUGUAUCCAGCACUGAUGUGCUUGUAAGAAGAGAAUCCUGUACUCUGAACCACAUACAUACCUGAGACAUUAGUGCAGUCCUAACAUGUGCUGCAUCCGACAGGGAAGCAACAGUGUGAGGCGUCAAUGGAGGAAGCGAAGCAGGGAGAGGAGAGAGGUAAGGGAGAAGAGAGGCACCUGUUUGGAGGGCGGCACACAGUUGACGCGCCGCCGGCGUGUCCUUGGCCGGCGGCGCUCGGGCAUCGGGCGGCCACGGUCGGCCACCUUGGCCGGCGGCGCUCGGGAAUCUUGCGGCCAUGGCCGUCUCUCUGCGCGCCCGACGACGAGGCGAGGUUGGGGUGGCCGGGAACGGGUAGAUCGGAGGCGGGGCAACUUGAUCCGGUAGUUGUGAUCGAAGAACCGGUGGCGGACGACGUUCUCCGGCGACGGCGGCGCGGAUCCGAGGCCAUGGCAUGCUCCUGUUCGUCCUGGGGACAGAGAAAUCGGGGGAUGAGCGAGGUGAAAGGAGACAGAGGAAUAGAGGGUGGAGCAGGGCACAGCGGCACUCAUCUCCGGCGAGGAUCCGGUCGCCGGCGGGUCGCGAGGUCGAGGCGGCGGCGCGCUCGGGAGCUCGGCCUCGGGCGCGUGGCUGCGGACGCGGCGUACGGGCGGCGCUCGACUGGCUUGGGCCCAGAUGUUUUCUAACUUGGACUGCGGUACAAUUUCCAAACAAUAGGAGGACGUUUUUGCAAAACGGCCGCGACGGGUGUGCGGGCAUCAGCAGUAGAUGCUUUAUUAUUCAGAAUAGAUAAAUCCCGAACAUUCGGAAUUUAAGCAUGUCAUUCCGAAUGUUUUUGAUGGCAACUUUUGUUGCUGCGAGGUGGCAACUUUAGUUGUUUAUUAUUCGAAAUAGAUAAAUCCCGAACAUUCGGAAUUUAAGCAUGUCAUCCGAACGUUUUUUGAUGGCAAUUUUUGCUGCUGCGAGGUGGCAACUUUAGUUGUUAACACAUGGCAACUUCAUUCCGGUUUGAUCUUUUGUUAGAAAAUUGCCAUGUUUGUCAACAUCGCCUUAACUAAAGUUGCCAUGAAAAGAAUUCGGAUUAGCAUGCUUAAAUUCCGAACGUUUGGGACUUAUUGAGUUCCUUAUUAUUAGGUAAAGGUAAAGAUAAAGAUUAUUUUAGAGAUGCUUUGUACGGAAUCGGGUGAACGUAAUAGAUCUGAUCCUUUUGAAAAGAAAAAAGAGACGAGCCAACUAAGUGACUGAAUCCAACACAACACAGAGACACAGAGAGAAGCAACAUGCAUCAUUAACCGCACAAACUAAUUGAAGCCGCAAACACGCCGGAGCCACGACCGAUCUUCACCCAAACCACAUGCAUGGAUGCAUGCGUGCAUGCAUGCAGAUGAAGAGGCAACAUCGAUGGAGCUCCUUUUAUUUCUGGUCAAUCCUAAGAUCGACCGGCACGGAAGACACGAACGAACAGGCGCCGACGGAGGCGGAAGCUCAGCAGUCCCGCUCGCAGUAGCACUUGCGCUCGACGUAGUGCGUGUUGCACUGGCCGCGGGGGAACUUCUCGGUGCGGCACACGCUGGCGCAGUUGGUGUCGCUGAAGCAGGCGCCCUUGAACUUGUGGCUCUGCGACUGGCACGUCCGGGCCUCCGCCGUCUUCAUCGUCCCCAUCUCUGCUUGCAAGGCAACCACAGCCCACAAUAAGUAAGUGCCGGUGAGUAGAGUAGUACAGAUCUAUGCUCGCUUGCAGGAAAGGAGCUCGGCGGACGUAACGUACCUGUGGCGACGAGGAGCAGGACGAGGAGGAGGACGGCGGGCGCGGCGGCCAUGGGACGGGGGGACGCCAUCACUCUCUGCUCUUGCUUGCCUGCCUCACCGGAGAUUCUAGGCCGUGCUGCUAGCUGUGUUUAAUUAGCUAAGCAAAGCGAAGGUGGAGUGAACACAAGACGAGGGAGAGGUUUAUAUAGAUCAGUGAGAUUCUCAGUGGUGUGGUGGUGGACGGGUAUGUAGAGUAGGUGGUUCCACGUUGCCAUGGCAGGUGUCCAAGAAGUUACUCGAAGCAUAUGCAUGCCGACAUGGGAGUGAGUGGAGGUGUCGGCAGCGUAGAUGCUCAAGGCACGAGCAGCGAGGCGAUGCUUUUGCCUGCGCCAACUUUACUUUACCUGCCUGCCUCCCCCUAGCCUACUCACUUAACUUGCUGUGAAUGUGAUCGAGAGGCACAUGAACGGACAGGGCCCCGUGCAUGCAGAUCGCACUCGCGCUCGCGCCCUAUCUAUUCAGAAGCGCUCCGAAUCAGUAGUGACUUAACAUAUGAGCGCCCUUUAUUUUAACACGUUGGCUCAUCAUGUUAUCAUUUAUUUUUCUUCCCACCUUCGCUUCGCUGAUGAUGGUCGCGAUGUCCACGCGAUCACAAUGCACUCGACGUGGUAAAUCUCAAGGCUGAGCUUGCCACUGUACGCCAUACUUGUCAUUAUGUUGCGUAAGGGAAUGUUUAAAUCUUUGAAACAAAUCUCAUCGACCAUGAACUACUCCCAACGCCUAGACAUACAAAGACUUCCGAAAAACUAAUCAAAUCCUAGACAUAAAGACUUUUGAAUCGCUGAACAUUUUUUCAAAUCGACAAACAUUUCUUUUGAAUUUUUGGAUUUUCUCAAGAAAAUCAUGAACAUUUUUUGAAAUGCAUGAACAGCUUUUAAAUUCAUGAUCUUUUUUACUCAACAAAAAUUUCUGAAUAGAUGAAAUUUUUAAAAAAAUUGAGAAACAAAUUUUAAAUUUUGUGUUUUUAUUUCUUUGAAAUUUUUCUAAAGUUUCAUGGAUAUUUUUUUUCAGAUUCCCGAAUAAGUUUUGAAUAUAAGAACAUUUUUUUCAAAAUCAUGAACAUGAUUUUAUUUCCCGACCAUUUUUUCCAAAUCGUGAUUUUUUUUUAUUAAUUUGUGAACAGUUUUGGAAACCAAAACAUUUUUUAAUGCGAGAAAAUUUUAUGAUUUCCUUAACACUUUAUGAAUUCGCAUACAUUUUAUGAUUUCUCAAACAUAUUUUUGAAAACUCGCACUGAAAAUUCAGAAAUCCCGAAUUAGUUUAAAGAAGGAAGAAAAGGCAAAGAAAAACGAAAUGGAAAACAACAGGGGAGUCAAGCUCUUACAUGGGCCGGCCCAUGCCACUGAGGUGCUCAUGCAUCUGUUGUUUACAUUUGUAUCACAUCUAUAAAAUUACAACGUCUAAAAAAACUAUAAAAUUACGAAGCACGAUGGCGACUUGGGAAAGAAAAACCGAAACGUUUUCUUCACUUACGGGUAGCAUAGUGGGUAAUUUAUAGCAAUUUUGAGGGUAUGUUUUUGGACGGACGGGCAGAAGCAAUAGCUCCUUUAUUAUUAUUAGGUAAAUAAGUGAUGACUAUAAGAGCAAUAUAAUACAGCCAACAGUGAGAGCGGCGAUAGCGUGCUCGGGCGCGCGCGCUCCUGGUAUGAGAGCGAAUGGAGCAAGGUCACGUGGCUGGUGGCAGUUAUGACUGAUGGAAAUGCAGAUUCGUAUUAGCGCGAUAAAUGGCAGAUACACCGUAGUGGCACCGUAUACUCGACUUGACGGAACGAUGCAUUGCCGUGAAGGAAUUCCACCAUGAUGUACGGGUGGACUGGUGGUACAGGUCCUACAGAACGAGGUGUCCAACAAAGGGGUGGGGCCAUUUAAUACCAUACCUCAGGUUGACUGGACUUUUUUCUGUAUACCCUCCCUCUGAUGCUUACUGAAGAAUCAAUUACAUUUUUAUAGCUUGCCUCCUGGUCGUUAAUUACAUUCGGCGCAGAUUCAUAUAUAAAUUUUGAAAAAAUGAUACGAGCCAGCCUUACAAUUUGUAUUUCGGGUACGUUUGAUUACAUUUCCAGUGUGUUCGUUAACUCUAUGUUAAUUCAGCUGGCACACGCUCAAUACCUACCUGUCAGUAGCAAGGAAAGAAAGGUUUGGAACCUGGUAGUUUCUGUCAAUAGUGGAGAAAGACGUUACUUAUACUCUUUAGAAGAAUAAUUGAUUUGGAACCAAAACGCUGCAUCAAGGUUUGAACAAGUGUUUUUGUCUUCUUGAUUUUGGUAUUUUUCAUUAGAUUGAAAAAAUUGAAGUGAUAUUUUAUUUUGGAUUCGAACUCAAGAGUGUCGCACGUGUCCGGCAGUAGCCACUGCACCACAUGCUAUUUCUGGUUAAUGUUAUGUAAUGCUAUAUAUAUUUAAUCCAGAAAAUUGUCUUCAAUCUAAAAUGUGUGUUGCACGGGUUUACUGUGUGAGUGCUUCUCUCAUCACCAUUUUUCCUGGUCGAUAGGUUAUGGAAAAUUCCGUGAGCCCAUUUUUUAGAAGAUGCUCAUAUGCAGAUGUUUUCACAUAACAACUUUUGUCCAAGUGAUAGGGUGUGAACCAUAACGGCUCAUAUGCAAAAAAGUAUUGAUGGAGAGUUAACGACAAUGACAUAAAUGUACUCAAAAGUAUCUGAAACACAAGUUGUAGGAUUGAUUUAUGUCAAUUUCAAGUUUAUGUAUAUAUGUGUACAUCCUAUGCAAGUUUAUAUAUUAAAAUUCUACCUAACGAGAGUGGCGUUUUGGCACAUGGGAGCAUAUGCUCCUGGAUUUUAAAUUGUGUUUAAACAUAUUUUGAAAUGUAACAAAAUUCUGACAAAAUGAUUCUCGCGUACAUCUUGACAUUCUAAGUGCAUACAAACUCGUUUCGUAGAAAACCAACAAUUUUUGUGUCACAUGCAUAAAAGACAAAAUUUAGUGUUAAAAAAAGGAUUUUCAUGAGACUUUUUUUGUCUUUUUUACACAAGGCGUAUAAAAUGUCGGUUUUUCAUGAAACUUGGCGUUCGCACAUACAAUGUUGAGAUGUGCGUGUCAAAUUUGUGUUCGGAUUUUUUUGACAUUUUGAAAUAUAUUUUUUGAUGGCAGGAUCAUAUACUCCCAUGUGCCAAAGGGAAUUUCUACCUAACUAACUCCUUAUUGAACAGCAGGUGAAAACAACAACGUAAAAAGGUGUAAGGGUUGUUUGGUUCCUUGCCACACUUUGCACACCUCACCUUAGACAAGUUUGACCAAAUUAGGUGGGUGUUUGGUUCUAGCCACACCUAAGACAAUUCUUUUAUGGGUAGUAAGCCCUCCAUGUCGUAGACAUAAAAGGUGUGGCAACAUUCCCUAAGGCAAGCCAAAAUGUGGCUAUGAAUUUGAGCAACUUAAGUAAGGCAAGUGUGCCAAAAAUAAUAUGGCAAUAUGUGGAAAAAAUAGUCACAAUCAAAACAGGCCAGUAAUGUUUCUAGUUAUUCUGCGCGGAUAUCUUUUUCUUGAAAAUAUGUUGGCGAAGACUGAUAUCCAUGCAACGGUGAGGGAGAAUGCAUUCUUAUGCGACGCAUGGUCAGCCACAAGUACGGGGUUUGUAACCAUGAAAAAUAGGGCACGAUAUUUUGGCAACAUGUGCAUUAUUGGUUUCAUGAGUACAAGCAUUACACGUCCUAUAAUUUAGAUGUAAUCCAUGAUCGCAAUGAGAAGUCGUUGCUGCAUCGGUGGUACACUACUUUGAAAUUCCUCAUGAAGUUUUCCAACGCGAUUUCACAAGUGGAAGAAGGUGGCUACUGGUCGCGAUGUACUAUCAGAUAGAGAGCUAACCCUUCACAUUUAUUCACUGUUGGAUAAAACUCAAAGGCCAGCCCAUCUAAGAGAGCAUGUGGUGAUGAAGAAGGUCAUACUCAAGGAGGUAAAGUUUGAGAUAAAGGUCACUUACGAGGACCAAGGAGUAUGUUUGAAUUUGAGAUCGAUGAAUUUAAAAAACUUGUAGAACAUCCAAUAUUUUUAUUUGUGAUUUAAAUGUAUGAUUAAAUUGCUAUUGCUCAAUGACUGCAUGCUGGACAUUUGAAUAGUUGUAUUCUUCUUAUUUUUUAAAAAGAGGCGGACAUUUGGAAGCGGUAUAUUGUCUCUCGGGUGUAUAUGCACACAUGGGUGAACAGUAGAAUAAUUGGAAUAGUUUUUCAAAUCCUUUUUUUGGUGAUGCGAUAUGCUCAUGUACAUGAAGUCCGUGCCAAAUUUUGUAGAGUUUAGACAUUUUAGUAGCUCUCAGUAAAGAAGACAAAUUUCGGGCCUAUGAGAAACUUUUGAAAACAACACUUUUCGGAUCUCAUUUUUUUUCAUGAGCUCCUCAAAUGUCAUUUAGCCACGAAAUUUUUCAUGCACCCGGCGCACUGAAUCAUCCUGGAUUCAAAUUUUGUUCAGUUUUAUUGAAUUAUUUUUGCUAUUUUUUAUUUUAUUGUUCACCGGGUGCAGAUGAGCUUGGGCACCAAAUUAAAUGUCCAGCAAACAGUUGAUGUAUAUGGUUCAACGUCUGGGUCUACUAGCGCUAUCCAUUGACACAUUUGAACGGUGUCUGCGGACGGACAUUUAGUGUGUUCAUUUUGAUGGACAGCGCUUGGAGGCCUAAUUAUUCUCUUCUUCUUUUUUUGCGGUGGAGGCCUAAUUAUUCAUCGGCACACAAGUACAUUUGUUAACAUAAAGUGCUCCAGUUUCCGGAUGUAGUAUGGCAUAUAAGCCAGCGCUGGGAGCUCCAGUUAUCGGAAUCCUCGAGGGUAUAUGGUCUACAGCAAAUCGGCCAUGCUCGUCGCGCAGCUGAAAAAAUCUCUAUUCUUCUUCUUUUUUCAGGGAAAUCUCUACCAUAGUCGCUUCCUUGGAAGUUGCAUGAUUUUUCUGCAAAUCCAAAAAAUGUGGGGCUAUCGACGAACGACCCGCCGGGCGUUAGUCACGGAUACCAUUUUGACCGAACAAGCAGGCUGGUACAGGACACCGCAGCUCUCACGUACCUGGCGGAAAGCUCUGCAUGUGGGUCCGCUCUUUACCUAUAUGGUAGGGAAUACUUAAUUUGCGUCUGUGCUAUACACCCCAUAAUACCUGACACAUCCCGCAUCCUCAUGCAAACGUGCGCUUCUCGAUUUCGGGAGCGAGCGAGCUCGUCCGCUCCUGUGAAUUACCGAGCCAGCAGUUGGCUAUACUAUUAACCAUGCUUUAAGUACUAGGAAAACAAUUAAUACUAAUCCGUCGACUAGCUGCAGGUAGGUUUGUAACAGUGGUUUUACUGUGAACACGCGGCCGGCCGGCGGGCUGACAGACAAACUGUAGGUAUGCAGACCCAAAUUCAAUAGGAUGAAAUUGUAGUCAGUACACCAAUAAACCAUUGCUAUGACUCUAGCAGCAUCCCAUGAACCAUAGCAAUAGCACCAUGCACAUAUGUGAACUAGGAACAAUAAUGAACAGACCAGCACAACCACUCAAACCCUAAACAUUAGGGAAAUUCCUAGUCUAGGAAAUACACAGCACAUGAGUAUAAAUUCAUGUACACAACAAUCAUCAGCAGUACCAAUAAACCAUGAACAACACUACCAUCAUGCCACCUAAAGCAACCAAGGGCUUCACGGAGAGGAGGAGGAGGAGCAGCUGACCUAGCAGUGAUGUAGCCAAUGGAGCAGCAUAUCACCGCACCAGUUUUGGAAGAGCGCGUCAUCUUGCCGCCGUCCUAGCACGGCGAGGGAGCAGCACCGCACCAAUGGCGGAGUUGGACGAGGAUGGAGGGUUGGCCGGAUCCAAAUCAGCGACCGAAGGGAGGGGCUGUGGGCGGCGACAUCGGUGGAGGAGGAGGACCUCGACGGCAGGCUAGCUAGCUCUUGCGCGCACGGAAUGAACGCACGUACAGACGAUGGCGGCACUGUCAUCAGCACUAUGAGGGUUGCCGCAUCUCCGCUCGAUGGGGCGGUGUAGGUGGGUGCGGUGGGAUCUCGCCAAAUCCACCAUGGGGAAACGCAAUACUCGCUGGAGGUGGGUGUGGCGGGAGCUCACACUGGCCGCUGUUGGAGGAGGAGGCGUCGACGACUUGCGGAGUUGGUGAAGAGAGAGACGAGCGGCGGGGCAGAGGAAGAGGACGACUGGCAAGGAACAUAGAGGAUAAGGUGUGUUUUAAGCUGUUGGGCUGCGGCGCGAAACAUUUUGGCCUUUUGGACGGCGGCACGAGAUUUGACAAAGGAAAAAGUCCAAAACAAAUCUUCAAUUUAUAGGCGAAAGCUAAAUUAAAUCCUGAACUCUCAAUCCCUGAAAUCAGCACACCAAACUCUCUAAUCCCGGUCUAUUUUAAACCUUGACAGAACACAGCCGGGAUUUGCUGAAUUGGGCCGGCCCAGUAGCGCAGUUGCUCGUGCGCGCACUAAUCUGGUCUUUUUCUUAGUUUCUUCCUUUUUCGUUUUCUUUUCUUUUUUCAUUUUUACACAUGUCUUUUUUUUCUCAGUACCCAAUGUACAUUUUUAGCGCACACAUUAAAUAUUUUUGGAUAAACUUUUGAUAUUUUCAAAUACAUUAUGUACAUUUAUAAAUUACAUGUUUUCAAAACUUUUUGAAUACAUGGUAAUAUUUUUUCAACUACAUGUUUUACAUUUUCUUAAUGACAAUAAACAUUUUAUAAAACUACACAACACUCUUUUACGUGGUUCAACAUUUUUAAAUUUGCAUACACUUUUUUCAAGGACAUGCCACAUAUAUUCUGUUAAGGUUAUGAUACAUUUUUUUACAUCAUGCAAACAUUUUUUUACACUUGUAAACACAUUCUUUUAAAAAUGACACAAACACAUUUUUUGGAACUCAUGAUCAUUCUUGAAAUGUUACAUUUUUUUGAAUCACAAAAAUAUUAUUAUACAUUGCAUAAACAUUUGGAUUGGCCCGUAGAUUUUUUAAAACUUGUGAUAUUUCUUAGAUGUUACAAAAUAUUUUCAGGUUUCAGAAAAUGUUUAUGUAUCAAAACGUGUCCGCACUAAACUUUUGUUCAGGUUGCAGAAAAAAAAUUGUUUCAAAAAGUUCUUGCACUUCAAAAUUUUGUUCAGGUUUCAGGAAAUGUUUAUAAAGGUGUUUGCUUUUUCAAAGUUGUUGCUUUUUUUUAAAAGUAUUCGAAAUUUUCAAAAAGUUCUUGCACUAUAAAAUGUUCAACGAUUUCAUAAAUAAAUACGUAAUUUUGAAAAUACGAAAUAUUUUUCAUAGCAUGUGAAAAACUGUUGGAACUGAACAUUUUUUGAUAAAUGUGAUUUUUUUGAAUCGUGAACAGUUUUUUAAAAUGCUAAUAGAGUUGAUUUUGUGUGAAAUACGAAAUUCCAAACAGUUUUGAAAAACACAAAACGAAUUGAAUUUGUGCGAAAAAUAUAAAACAGAAACUUUUGAACAAUUUUAGAAAUAUGCGAACAUUUUUUAAACCUCACGAAUUCUUAUUGUGUUAUAGUGGGCCGGCCCAAAUUCUAGUCCGUGAGAGUAGCUAGAAUCCCGGCCGGCAUUGUAGUCUUCCCAGCGUGCCAAACAGGUCUAAGAUCCAAAAUAGACCGGGAUUACAAGUUCAGAGUGCCAAUUUCCAGGAUUCAAAGUUCAAGGUUUGAUUUAGCUUUUGUCUACAACUUCAAGGUUUAUUUUGGACUUUUUGCUUUGAAAAAUUAAGUGGCCCAGACCAAUAAAGCAGCGAUGUUGUGGCGUGCCUUUUAACCCAGAUGCCAUUAGUAAUUCUUGUCUCUUUUUUUUUGCUUUUUCAUAUAGGCUUGUCUAAUUGCUGAUGGCGUGAAACAGGCCAGCAAUAUACCUAUUACUGGUGGUAUGGAAAAAAGUUACACGUCACCACUAAAUUGAUGGAUCCCAAAUAGCAGUGGCAUGGAUUUUGCGUGACACGCCAUCAGUAAUGACAUAGUGGUGACGUACCAAAUAUGUCGACGGCACCACUAUUUGAAAAAAAUGGUGACGGCGUGUAUUGAAAAUGGCGCGCCACCAAUUAAACUUGUGGGUAACCCUUUUUCCACUAGUGUUUAUAUGCAAUUCUAUAUUAUUUUUGGAAACUAACCUAUUAACCCAGUGUGCCAGUUUCUAUUUUUUUCCCUACUUUAUUGUUUUGCAGAAAGACCAUCUCAAACGAAGUCCAAACACGAUGAAACUUUACGUUGAUUUUUUCUGGACCAAAAGGGACCCUUAAAGCUUCNNNNNNNNNNNNNNNNNNNNNNNNNNNNNNNNNNNNNNNNNNNNNNNNNNNNNNNNNNNNNNNNNNNNNNNNNNNNNNNNNNNNNNNNNNNNNNNNNNNNNNNNNNNNNNNNNNNNNNNNNNNNNNNNNNNNNNNNNNNNNNNNNNNNNNNNNNNNNNNNNNNNNNNNNNNNNNNNNNNNNNNNNNNNNNNNNNNNNNNNNNNNNNNNNNNNNNNNNNNNNNNNNNNNNNNNNNNNNNNNNNNNNNNNNNNNNNNNNNNNNNNNNNNNNNNNNNNNNNNNNNNNNNNNNNNNNNNNNNNNNNNNNAACUCCGUUUGACCUAAUUCCAAGCCCAUAAUUUCCCUAAAAUUCAGAAACCACUAGAGUGAGACCCGAAAACAAUUAUUUCGCUACCGCAAGGCUCUGUUCUUUCGCGAUCCCAUCUGGAGGCCUCCGGUGAUACUCCAUCGAAGCAUGAAUGAACCACCGGGAGCUCGUAUGAGAGUUGGUUUAACUGCCCUAACUAUGGCAGAAUAUUUCCAAGGUAUUCUCCCCAAUCUCUCCCUUUCGGUCAGACAGCACUGGUCAAUAGGAUCGAUCAAUCCCGGUGGGCCUCUAAAUCAACCGUGCUGCAACUCCAAUGAUGUGUGAGUAGUUCCUCACAGGACCUAUGGGUCCAUAGUAGUAGCUAGAUGACUCUGUCUCGUUAUGAUCUUCAAUACAAUGUUCUUUUUGGAGAUCGAUAUGAUGUAAUCCUUUUAUGUUGUGUGUUUGUUGGGAUCCGGUGAAUUGUGGGUUUAUGAUCAGAUUAUUCAUUGAAAGUAACUGAGUUAUAUUCUGAACUUUAUUAUGUGUGAUUGUUAUAGGUUUGUAAUGUUUUCCGAUCUAUGAGUUAUGUUUGGCCAAGUUGAUGAUUAGGUCUUCAGUGGAAAUGGUGCAUAGUAGUAGGUUCAAUUUUGCGGUGUCCUCACCUCGUGACAUAAAGGGUAGCGACGUACGUAUUUGUAUUGUUGCUACUAAGAUAAAAUGACGGGGUUCGAUCAUAUUAAUUGAUCUUAUUUUGUCUAAAUUAUGUCAUCAUACCUAAUGCAUUACUCUGUUUGUCAUGAACUUAAUACCUAUAGAGACAAGCAUAGAAGCGCUCUCGAAGUGGAUUAAUAGUAGUAGAUGCAGAAUCAUUUCGGUCUACUCGUCACAGACGUAAUGCUUAUGUACUGAUCAUGCCAUGAAUAAUAUCAUAACUAUGCGUUAUUUUAUGAAUUGUCCAACAGUAAUUUGUUCACCCACCUCAUCGUUAUGCUUAUGAGAGAGAUGCCUCUAAUGAAAGCUAUGACCCCAGGUCCAUUUAAAUCAUAUUAUUAAAUCCUGAAAUACCUUAUUGCAAUUUAUUUAGUUUUACUUUACUUCUUAAUUUGUAUAUCUUCUAUUAUCAGAUUUGAUCCUUGUAAUUAAUGAGUAUAAGGGGAUUGACAACCCUCUUGUCCGUGUUGGGUAUAAGUAUUUACUAUUCUGUGUGUAGAUACCGCUAAAAGUCUAAAAGUCGUUUCUGUGAAUCUUCUGUUGGUUGGAUAAACAUAUAAACAUCGGUUCUUUGCUGGGAAAUAUUUUCUGUUACUGUAAUACUUCACCUUUCCUCUUCAGAAAAUUCUAACACAUUUCGCAAGUAGCACUGCCUACGAGGAGCACAGAAUCUUUUGUUGGUUGGGUAAACCUCGGUUCUUUGCUGGGAAAUAUUUUCUGUUAUUGUAAUACUUCACCUUUCCUUUUCAGGAAAUUCUAACACAUUUCGCAAGUAGCACUGCCUACGAGGAGCACAGAGGUUGGACAAACCUCGGUUAUUUGCUGAGAAAAAUUUUCUGUUACUGUAAUACUUCACCUUUCCUCUUCAGGAAAUUCUAACACAUUUCGCAAGUAGCACUGCCUACGCGACGAGGCUGGCGAGGCAAUGUUCGGCAGGACCGUGACAAGGCAGACAUCGCCGGCUCCGCCGAGACCAUACUUCAUCACCACAAUCACGAAGCCAACACGUCCGCGGGCAUAGUUGAUAACGAGAAAGAGUAGUGCACAGUAGAUCACCGCCGCUCUGGUCUCAGAAAGACUACUCCUUCUCUCCUUCCAUAUCAUCAGCCAAUUAGUCGCUUGACUGCGACAUGGAGGCAGACAACUUCAGUUCCCGAACCUCGAGGCGGAGCCGGAGAAAACAAAACUUCAGUUCUCGGAGCUAAUGUGGAGGUUACCGAGGCUAUACCUUGUUCCAUUAAAACACUCAAGGGGUUAUACGAUAUAUCGGGUGUAGAAGUAGGCCACCCCCAAGAAGGAGAAGAGCGUAAAGCUCAAAUAUGAUUGAAGGCGAAUGCUAAGGAGAAGAAGAGGAUUGAGUCAAAAGAAAAAGCUAUUUUGGGGAGCCGGAGAAAACAAAACUUCAAUUCUCGGAGCUAAUGGCCGGAUACGGGACUGGGCGCCAAUGAUCAUUUAGUUAUGGUUUAGAAUAAAGCUUUGUUCAAAGUGAAUUUUUCACGUUUAAAUAAAAUCCGGCCAUGUUGAUAUGAACCCAGACUUGUUUAAAUGAAUUCCGUCUGAUUAGUUCGAAUUGUUGUCAAAAUAUAUACGGCUAUGAUUGGAUGGCUGCCUCCCGCAUUCCUAACUCGCCGAUUUUCAGCACAAGACAACAAAGAGGAGAGAAGCCACAUACAUCAGUGGUCAGUGGUAUCGUUAUUACUAGUACAGUAGUACUCGUAUACAUUAACCGCGCAAACUAAUUGAAGCCGCAAACACGGCGACGAAUCGCUGCAGUAGGCCCAGGACCGAUCUUCACCUCAGACACGAAGCAACUUUAUUUCUGGUCAUCCGCAGAUCAACACGGAAGGCACAAAGAAGAAAGCUCAGCAGUCCCGCUCGCAGUAGCACUUGCGCUCGACGUGGUGCGUGUUGCACUGGCCGCGGGGAAAGUUCUCGGUGCGGCACACGGUUGCGCAGUUGCUGUCGCUGAAGCAGGGGCCCUUGAACUUGUGGCUCUGCGACUCGCACGUCCGGGCCUCCGCGGUCUUCGUCGUCCCCAUCUCUG